GUCACAGCAGAAAACCGCCAUGGAAGCUGUUCCCGUCGCUGAUUCUGGAAAAUAUAUUCCAGCAUCACAGCGUCCUGACGGGACUUGGCGAAAACCAAGGCGUGUGAGGGAAGGAUAUGUGCCUCAAGAGGAAGUGCCAGUGAUCAUGGCGACAGGGAAUGCAGCAACCUCAACAGUUUUUUGAAGAACAUCAGGAACCUCUUUACCAAGCUCCAACAAGCAUCGAUGUUGCAGUUAAAGAAAAGUAUUGCAAUUUGUGUGUUAAACGUUGAUAAAUUUUGACAAAUGAACAAGGAUUCUAUUGGCAAAAAGAGAAUCUCCAAAGAUGAACCCUAUGGUUUGGAUUCAGUGAUUGAAACAGGACAACAUCUUCACAUUGAUUGGUUAUAAUGUUGAAUGUCUGUCAAUCAUCUGGGGGGAAAUUAAAUGGGUCUACUGAUGAAUGUCAUUAUUGGAACAGAUAUCUUCUGGAAUAUGUAUACUGGAUAGUUUUCUACCAUAGAAAAGGAAACAGCUGAGUCUUUUCCAACACAUUCAAUCACUGAAUGUCUGCGUCUACCAGCAAGAAUCUGCUUUCAUCAGAGAUUCGCAGGAAGAGGGCCAAUCAGCAGGCAUCUGGAGUUAUGUAGUCAACUUUAGAUUAGUCUAUUACAACAGAAAGCUGGAUGUGAUAUUACAGAAAGUGGGAUGAAAACAGCUGAAAUAAAUUCUCCAAAGAACAUCAGGAACCUGUUCAACGGAGCUCCAUGAAGUCCUUGAUGCCACAGUUGUUUGAAGAAUUGACAACAUAUACCCAUUCAUGGCCAUAAAUACUGGCAUGUGAACUGAGUUAAUUGAGAAACCAUGUCUCCAGAAAGGAAUCUGAAGUUUUGGAUGCAAUAUUUGAUACAGGGUGAUAUUGGUUGAGAUGUUGAAUAUUUAUGAAUCGUCUGGGGGGAAAAGAGAAAGGGGCCACUGAUGGAUGAUAGAAUGCUUUUGGGAAUAUGUAUUUUGGAUGCUUAUAUAACAUGGAUAACACCAUAUGGAAGGUUGCAGCACUGCUGAACUCUGAAUCUUAACAGCCAACCACAGGAUACAAAUCUGAUAAUCAAUUCCCAUGCCAGUACUCUGGAGUAAAACAGGUUUCAGCAUCAACGGAGGAAAGGACUAUUUCUUUGGGGGAACAAUCUGGUAAGUACUUUCAAUGCAGGAGGUUCACACCCUGAUGACAAUCAUUGUGAAGCAGCAAGGAAAGCGACCUUGUAUCCAUGGAACUGCAUUGCAGCAAAACUCAGGAACAUCUGACAGGGAGACAGUAGGUGAAGAAAAUUUGGAUGAGUAAAGGUUGAAGAUUCUAACUAUGGAGAAUGACCAGACAAGUAGUUAAUACAUGGAGUGCUGGAGACAGAGGAACACUCAAGACCUGAGCUGAGUGACAUCUCAGCACUGUGUUGGGCGUACAUAAAUGAGUGAGCUAUUGACACCUGGAUGGUAUUCCCAAAUGGAAUAGUGGCAGUGAGAACCCCAAAAGCAAGAAACAUGGGAUAACGAAGGGACUGCAACAUCUUUCUGGAUCGAUGGACCGGGACAGAGCAAUUGUCUUUCCUCAGCUAUUCCACAAACUCAGCUUGCUCGAACGAUUCCAGGGUGAUGGCUGUUGCUACUGGGGACAAAGCAGCUGAAGGAUCUGAAGCACAUCUCCAGAAAACACUGGGAACCUGUUCGCCAGAGCUCCAUGAAACCUCAAAACUUCAAUUGCUGGGAGAAAUUUGUUUGUUCAACCAUGAUAAAUGCUGAUGUGUCAACGAUGGAUUAAUCUCAGAAUGGAUGCAUUGUUUGAUUGGUUGGCAUAUUGAAUAUAUGUCAGUCGUCUGGGGGGAAAUAGAAUGGGGCCGCUGAUGGAUAUCAUUUAUUGGAAUGGAUACCUUUCCAGGAUACAUGUUGUUUCACACUACCAUGAAGACCACAAUGGUCAUUGUUGCAAUGCAUUUGAUGGCUGAAUCCUUACAACUAACAACUGGAGUCAACGCAUUCUCAGGAUGGAUUCAGUUCCUGUACUGCAGGGGGAAGAGGCAUUGAUAACGAUCAAGAAAAAGAGUUAGUUUCUCUGCAGGAGGUUUUUCCUUAUUUAUUAUUUUCCUUAUUUAUUUUUUCCUUGUUUAUUUUCUUCAGGUGGGAUGUUCCUUCCAUCAGACAGAGCCACUUGAUCUUCUGCAAGAACAGCAGCUGAAAGCUAAAAUGAAGAGUGAUCCGGUGAUUCGAGCUAACAUUCUGUCCAGUUGCAGAGGAGGUCUCUUCACUUCUAGCUGUACCUAUUCCUGACCAUACCUAAAAUUUAUUUAUUCAUUGAUCCAGGCCCUUCCAGUCCUUCUGGUCCAACAAGCCAUGCCAUCCAGUAACACACCUAUUUAACACUAGUUCAAUUUACAUUGACUAAUUAACCUACUACCUGGUACAUUUUUGGAAUGUGGGAGGAAACCAGAGCACCCGGAGGCAACCCAUGCGGUCACGGGGAGAAUGUACAACCUUCUCACAGGCAGCGCUGGAAUUGAACUCCGAAUUCCGAUGCCCCUAGCUGUAAUAGCGUUGCGCUAAUCUCUACACUACCGCGGCACCCUAUAUUAAGACAAUGCAGAAAGACCACUUAUAGGGCUGCUGCCUCAGGUAUGGCCGAAAGCAGCUCAUGUUACCUAUCAAGAUAUUGAACUUGUCUCUUUCUCUUGUUGCAGGCCGAUGGCUCUUGAGAAUGAAGACAAGGCAACUGCAACACUUCUCCGGAGAACAUGGGAAAUCUGUUCACCAGUGCUUCUUCCAACUUCACUACUGCAAUUGUGGGGAGAGAUGGUGAGAUUUACUUUUGAUGAAAUGUUAUCAAGCUGAACAUUAACUUUGUUUCCUAUCUCCACAGAUGCUACCUGGCCUGCUGUAUAUUUCCAGCAUCUUCUGUUUCACUACCCAAGAUUUAUUCGUCUGUGAAUGACAACUACGGGCUCAUCAACAGAGAGAAAUCGUGUUGUUUGGAUGCAAUGUUUGAAACAAGAUUAUGUGUGCAUGUUAAUUUGGUUAAAAUGUCAGACUAUCAGUCGUCUGGGGGGAAUAAUAGAAAGGGGCCAUUGAUGGAUAUCGUUAUUGGGUUGGAUACCCUUCUGGAAAACGUAUUGUGGAUAAUUUUACACUGCGGAAAAGACCACAGCAGAGCAACAUGUUUGACCUUGGAAACUUAACAGCCAACAGCAGGAGACAACUGCAUUUGGUGCCAUUGCUUGAAGGCCAGAGGGAUUCGUGAACAGGCUUCAGUGUUAAUGGAGAAAAGCGUAUUUUUUUCUCAUCUGAACAUAAAGGCAUCUUUUUGUUAAAAUGAAAAAAAGAUGGUUGACGCCCACCAAACAGCUGGAAGGACCCCAGUAGUUCUUCAAAGAACAUCAGGAUCCUGUUCCUGAGACCUCUUGGAAACCUUCUGUUUGCAUUCUACUAGAAAAAUAGUGAAAUUUACUUCUUCAGUGUGGUUAAAAUGAUGAAUGUUUGUGAAUCAUCUGGGGGGUAAAAGAAAGGGGCCACUGCUGGAUCUAUUUUUGUGAUGGAUACCUUUCUGGGAUACAAAUAUUGGAAAAAUUUCUUCUGGCAACGGGAGUGAAGCAAUUAGUUCUUGAAAAUUUAACGACCAGCAUCAGGAAGCAGCUUGCAUCACAUGCUCUCAGGAUGGAUUUAGUGCCAGAAUUCUCUCAGAAGAAUUGCAGUCAACAAGCUUCAGUGCCAGUGGAGAAAAGAAAUCAGAUUCUCUUGAUCUGUAAAAUGAUCAUUUUGUGGGACCGUUUAAGAAAGAUCAUUGGGAACUCAUCGCAUUUAUCAACUUAAAGUGGCACCAUCGAAUUGAGACAAGAUAGGUACCUUUUCUUCAACUGGUGGGUGAGAAGACAUUGAUUUAUUUUUACCUUGCAAUUUCUGUUAGAAUCUCCAUUCCUUGCUCUAUUUCCUGCCAUUAAAGAGAAUUACCUGCCUCAAAUGUAAAAGUUUUGCACUGAUUGCCUUUCGCAACCGUUCAUUGUAUUAGGAACAGAAUUCUAAUCUGCACAAGUCCCAUUUGUUUUGCAGGAUUCUGAAUGUGGAGAAUGACCAGACAUGGAGUGCCGGAGAGAAAGGAGUACACAAGACCUGAGCUGAGUGACUUCUCAGCAAUGUUUCUUUUUAUUUUCAUUUUUUCCCUUUUUUUAUUAUUUGGUAAUUCCAUAUACAACAUGAUCUUAAGCCUUCAAAACAAGUCUAGAAUCUAUACAGACUAGAAUUAUCUAGUCAACAUUUCAGUCAAAAUUUUUAAGUGGCUUAUACAGUUCAUUUUUGUGUGUCUCAAGUUUUCAAACCAUCAUUCCAAAUCCCUUGCCAUCUCUGGCUCUGUCUUCACUAUGAUGUAACAUCUGUGUCUUCCAGCCUUAACAAAUGCUUCUCCUGCUCCAGGUGAUCUCAGAUCAGUUCCUGCUUGGAGUUGUUCUGCAAGCUUUCUGCUUGUAUUUAUUUUUGGUGGAAGUGACCUCUGAAGGAGUUUUCUGCCAUCCCUUCCCCAUUUUUGCCUCUGACCUAAUCCUUCCUAUCCAAUUCUUCCUCUAAAUAGCUUUGACCAACUUUCUGGUUCAUAUGAACCCCACAUUAUUCUCCAUAACUUCCCUCAUCUUUCCCUACCCCCCACCCCACUCUCCGCUUUCUGCACAAUCUCCAUGACUCCUUUGUCCACUCGUCUUUCCACACUGAUCUCCCUACUGGCACUUAUCCCUGCAAGCAGGACAAGUGCUACACCUGCACCUUCAUUUCCUCCCUCUACCUUCUCUCUCACCACCAUUCAGGACCCAAACGGUCUUUCCAGGUAAGGCAACGCUCAAUUUGCAAGUCUAUCGGAAUUAUCUACAGUAUCUGGUGCACCUGCUGAAGCCUCCUCUACAUUGGUGAGACCCAUUGUAAAUUGGGGAACCGUUUUGUUGAGUACCUUUGCUCUAUCUGUAACAGGUGGCAUUUUCUUGUAGUCAUCCACCUUAAUUCUACAUCUCAUUUCAAUUCUGACAUGUCAGUCCUUGGCCUCCUCUGCGGUCAUGAUGUAGCCAUUCUCAGGUUGGAGGAGCAAUACCUCAUAUUCCAUUUGGGUAGCCUCCAACCUGAUGGGAUGAAAAUCAAUUUCUCUAAAGGUAGUUUCCCCCCACCCCCUUUCUCUUUAUCCAUUCCCCAUCUGGCUCCCCUCUUACCCCUUCUCUUUUCAUCUGUCUAUCACCUCCCUCUGAUGCCCGUCCUUCUUCCUUUUCUCCCAUAGCCCACACCUUUCUCCUAUCGGAUUUCUUAUUCUUCAGCCUUUUACCUUUUCCUUCUAGCACCUCCUAGCUUCUCACUUCAUUCCCCUCCCCCUCAACUGGCUUCGCCUAUCAUCUGCCAGCUUGUACUCAUUCUCCUCCCCUCACCUUCUUAUUCUGGAUUUUUCCCCUUCCUUUCUAGUCCUGAUGAAAUGUCUCAGUCCAAAACAUUGCCUGUUUAUUCCUCUCCAUAGAUACUACCUGAUCUGCUGAGUUCCAUUCAUGUUUUGUAUUUGUCACUCUGUAUUUCAGCAUCUGCAGAAUCUCUUGUGUUUAUUAUCUAGAUCAGGCCUCAAAGAGAUAUUGUGUCGGGCUCUGGUGAACCACUUUGCAACCCCAUUGACCAGUGCUGGGCCUAACUGGUCUAAGUUCUCUCAAAUCUGCGACCUCCAGACAUAUGGAAACAGCGCCACCUGCUGGUUACACCGCAAACCACACUCCAUGUGAACUUGGAAAUGUUAUCACCGUUCUUCAUCAUCGUUUUGUGGAGAUACUGGAACAGUUUGUUAGAAGGAAUUUUCUCAAGCUUAAGAAUUUGGCAAUAAGUUUGGUAGUUCUCUGAAAACACCUGGCAUCUUCCACCCUGAUUCUGAUGUUCGGAUGACCCUCAUUGCAACGGUGCUCAGCUGUAGCGGCGAGACUUCAGGAAUGCAGAGAGUUAUGUUUUCCCGUCAGAGUCCAGUCCUUUGGGUAAUGUUUUCUUUGGAAAUUGUCUGGCAGUUUGACCUCCAUGAGAUGAAGUCAUCAUUCUCCUUAGAAAUGUGGCAUUGACCUUCAAGAAAUUUGAAUGGUGAUGCACAGCCAUCUGAUCGUUCAGCAAGUGUAAACCUUUCCUGUUACUGAAAAGACACAGGUAAUUGAAGUGAGCACCUGUUGGCCAUAUAUGCAGUUCCUGCUGCCUUCACUUGUGGAAAAACCCAUUGGCACCUGAAAUGAAGAUAGGUGAAACUGUCCGUCCAUACCGGCUGAUGUCUCUGGUGGAAAGAAAUUGGGUGACGUGGCAGAGAUCAGGUGCAACCCUUCGGGAAGAUCUGGUGGUGAGUAAGCUGAUUGUCAAUGCAACCUUGACCUUCAUGGAGUGGCAAAGGCACGUGAGCAUGACAAGAGAUUUGCUGGUGAUUCCACUGUGUUCAAUUCCAUAUGCAACUCUUCAGCAAAUGAAUGUAUGCAUGGGCUGAUAAGCAUGAGUUUGCAUGGAGCCAUUGGAGAGUCAAUUGUGGGAGUGAGCUGAGCCAGUUGUGACAUUCUGCAUGCCUGACAUCAUGAAGAGCUAGUGGUGAAUCACUUUUGGGGGCAAGAUUGGAAAAAGUGAGCAGGGCCAGUCAGGAUAUUCUGCAUGCCGGAGAUUCCUCAGAGCCUUUAGCCAGUCCAUUGUGGGAGCAAGAUUGGAAAAAACAAUUCGGGGACAUUCGGGACAUCCUUGCAUGCCGGAGAUUGCUCAGAUCCAUUAGCAAGUCAAUUGUGGGAACAAGAUUGGAAAAAGUGAGUGGAGCCAGUCAAGACAUUCUGCAUGCCGGAGAUCAUGGAGUGAUUAUGCACUUGACAAGGCCCAAUAAAAGGAAGUCAGGUGUAAGUGAAGAGGUUUCUGUGGGAGUGACCAUUGUGUGAAUUCGCCAGUGUUAGAGUGGAAGAUUUGAGGCUUAGCUUAAAGAGGCGAAGGGUAGAGUAAGUUUCUGGUAAGUUUUUUCUUCUUUCUUUGUUAAUGCCCAAUUCAUGCAGUGACAGUGAUGGUCCAGGGUCAGCAAUGGGUACUUCAUGUUGGAUGUGGGAAUUCUGGGUGAGCUGUGUUCUUCCUGAAAAAUACAAUUAGGUGAAGUACAUCCAGCUGCAGCUCCUUACAGACCGUAUUAGGGAAAUAUGGCUGCAGUUUGGUGACCUACAGCAUCUGCAGAUUUUCUCUUCUUUGAGAAUUGACAAAUGAAUGCAUGGCUGAGGAACUGUGUAGGGAUCAGAGUUUCAUAUUUUUGGAAGAUUGGUAUCUCUUCUGGGGAGGAUAUGGCCUAUGCAAAAAGGACAAGUUACACCUGAACAUGAGAGGGACUAAAUACCACUACAGGGAGGUUUGCUGGAGCUGUUGGUGAGGAUUUAAACUAGUUUGGCAGAGGGAUGGAUGCCAGAGGAUGGGGCAGUUGGUGUGCAGGUAGAUGCAACAUGUAGAGAGACUGAGAAAGACAGGCAUUCUAUGGGGUAAAAUUACAAUAUAUGGGAUUGGGUGAAGUGUGUCUAUUUUAAUGCUAUCAGCAACAAGGGUAAAGAACUUAGAGCAUGGAUCAGUACAUGGAACUAUGAUGUUUUGGCCAUUAUGGACAUAUGCCUGUCACAAGGGCAGGAGUGGCUGCUGAAUGUUCCAUCCCAAUAGCAACAGAGACACUGAGGAACAGAUAGGGAGCCAGGUUUAAGAAAGGUGCAAAAAUUAACAGGGUUGUUGUCAUGGAGGACUUCAACUUCCCUCAUAUUGAUUGGCACCUCUUUAUUGUAAAAGGUUAAGUGGGGCAAAAUGUGUUAGGUGUGUCCAGGAAGCAUUGGUGACAGGCUGAGGAGAGGAGAUGCCAUACUAUAUCUGGUGCUAGGCAGAGUGUUGGGUCUCUUGAAGUGUAUUAAGGAGGUUAGUUUCCUGGGCUUGAUGGUAUAUAAGCAGGUUAUUGAGGGAGGAAAGAGAUGACAUUACUGUGGUCUUGACCAAUAUCCUCCUGUCCUCUCUAGCAACUGGUGAGUUCCUGGAGGACUGGCAAGUAGCUAAUGUUGUUCCAUUAUUCAAGAUGAGAACCAGGGAUAAUCCUGGAAAUUAUAGACCAGUAAGUCUCAUGUCAGUGGUAGGGAAGUUAUGAGAGAGAAUACAUAGGGAUAGGAUUUAUGUGCAUUUUGAAAUCCCUGGCCCAAUUAGGGACAGCUAGCAUGGCUCUGUGCAGGGCAUGUUGUGUCCUACUAACUUAAUAGAUUUUUUGUCGAGGUGAUUAGGGUGGUUGAUGAAGGUAGAGGUGAGGAUAUUAUCGACAUGGAUUUUAUUAAGCUGUUUGACAACGUCCCUCAUGGGAGGCUGAAGCAGAAGUUUAAGAUGCAUGGGAUUGAUGGUGAAUUGGCUGUUUGGAUUCAGAACUGGCUUGCCUAUUGACAAGAGAGGGUAGUGGUCAAAGGGACAUUCUCGCUGGAGGUCUGUGAUUAGAGGUGUUCCUCAGGGAUCAGAACUGGGACCUCUAUUUUUUGUGCUGUACUGUAGGUAAAUGACAAGAAUGAAAAUGGAGAUGGGAGGGAUAGUAGGUUUGAAAUGUCUAAUAGCAGAGGGCAUGAAUUUAAAGUGAGAGGAGUUGAGUUCAAAGGAGUUUCAAAGGGUAAGGUUUUUACCUAGAGAGUGGGUGUGCCUGGAGUGGUGUUAGAGGCAGAUACAUGACUAAUUUUUAAGUGAAGUUUAAAUAAGCACAUGAAGGUGAGGGAAAUGGAAGGAUUGUAUAGGCAGAGGAGAUUAGUUCAGUUGGUCAUUUGAAUACUAAUUUAAUUGGUUUGGCACAACAUUGUGGGCUGAAAGGUCUGUUCCUCUGCUGUACUGUUCUAUGAUCUAUGUUCUAUGUUCCAAGUGCAGUUUGACCAGUGCCUUUUAAAGCUUCAGCAUUACAUCCUUGCUUUCAUAUUCCAUUCCUCUCAAAAUGAAUGCUAGAACUAAUUUGCCUUCCUUUCCACAGACUCAACCUGCAAGUUAACCUUUAGGAAUCCUGCAUGAGGACUUCCAAGUCCCUUUGCACUUCUGAUUUCUGAAUUUGCUCCCUGUUCAGAAAAUAGUCUAUGCCUUUACUCUUUCUACCAGAGUUUCUACCUAUACUUCCCUACACUAUGUUCCAUGUGCCAUUUCUUUGUCCACUCUCCAAAUUCUUCUCCAGAUUCCCUUGUUCCUGAAUCUGAAUGUUACCGGUCUUUCCACCAAGCUUUGCAUUACCUGCAAACUUGACCACAAAACCAUCAAUCCCUUUAUCCAAGUCACUGGCACAUGAGGUGAAAAGAAGCAGUCCUAAUACUGACAUGUACGGAACACCACGUCACUGGCAGCCAACCAGGAAAGUCCCCACUUCUUGUUCUGACACUGGAUACACUCUGUCAUUGGCUCAGUUGGGCGGCAUAUACUGAACAAAUGAGGCAGCCCUCACACCUGCUGGAUGUCUACUGUAGGAUGCUACUGGACUGACACUGGCUCUGGAAUCACUUUUGCAGAAAACACCUGGCAUCUUCCACCCUGAUUCUGAUGUUCGGAUGACCCUCAUUGCAACGGUGCUCAGCUGUAGCGGCGAGACUCCAGGAAUGCAGAGAGUUAUGUUUUCCUGUCAGAGUCCAGUCCUUUGGGUAAUGUUUUCUUUGGAAAUUGUCUGGCAGUUUGACCUCCAUGAGAUGAAGUCAUCAUUCUCCUUAGAAAUGUGGCAUUGACCUUCAAGAAAUUUGAAUGGUGAUGCACAGCCAUCUGAUCGUUCAGCAAGUGUAAACCUUUCCUGUUACUGAAAAGACACAGGUAAUUGAAGUGAGCACCUGUUGACCAUAUAUGCAGUUCCUGCUGCCUUCACUUGUGGAAAAACCCAUUGGCACCUGAAAUGAAGAUAGGUGAAACUGUCCGUCCAUACCGGCUGAUGUCACUGGUGGAAAGAAGUUGGGUGACGUGGCAGAGAUCAGGUGCAACCCUUCGGGAAGAUCUGGUGGUGAGUAAGCUGAUUGUCAAUGCAACCUUGACCUUCAUGGAGUGGCAAAGGCACGUGAGCAUGACAAGAGAUUUGCUGGUGAUUCCACUGUGUUCAAUUCCAUAUACAACUCUUCAGCAAAUGAAUGUAUGCAGGGGCUGACAAGCAUGGGAUCACAAGGAGCUAUUGACAAGUCAAUUGUGGGAACAAGAUUGGAAAAAGCAAGAGCGACCAGUCAAGACAUCCUGCAUGCCGGAGAUUACACAGAUCCAUUCUCAAGUUAAUUGUGAGAGCAAGAUUGGAAAAAUGAUCGGGGCCAGUCGGGACAUCCCGCAUGCCGGAGGUUGCAUAGAUCCAUUUGUAAGUCAAUUGUGGGAGCAAGAUUGGAAAAACGAACGGGGCCAGUCGGGAUAUCCUGCAUGCCGGAGAUUGUACAGAUCCAUUAGCAUGUCAAUUGUGGGUGCAAGAUUGGGAAAAGUGAGUGGGACCAUUCGGGACAUCCUGCAUGCUGGAGAUGGCUCAGACCAUUCAUAAGUCAAUUGUGGGAGCAAAAUUGGAAAAAGUGAGUGGGGCCAGUCGGGACAUCCUGCAUGCCGGAGAUUGCACAGAUCCAUUCGUAAGUUAAUUAUGGGAGCAAGAUUGGAAAAAUGAACGGGGCCAGUCGGGACAUCCUGCAUGCCGGAGAUUGCUGGGAGCUAUUCACAAGUCAAUUGUGGGAGCAAGAUUGGAAAAAGUGAGUGGGGCCAGUCAGGACAUCCUGCAUGCCGGAGAUUACACAGAUCUAUUCGUAAGUUAAUUAUGGGAGCAAGAUUGGAAAAAUGAACGGGGCCAGUCGGGACAUCCUGCAUGCCGGAGUUUGCUGGGAGCUGUUCACAAGUCAACUGUGGGAGCAAUAUUGGAAAAAGUGAGUGGGGCUAGUCGGGACAUCCUGCAUGACUGAGAUUGCACAGAUCCGUUUGUGAGUUAAUUAUGGGAGCAAGAUUGGAAAAACGAACGGGGCCAGUCGGGACAACCUGCAUGACUGAGAUUGCUGGGAGCUAUUCACAAGUCAAUUGUGGGAGCAAGAUUGGAAAAAGGAACGGGGCCAGUCGAGACAUCCUGCAUGCCGGAGAUUGCUGGGAGCUAUUCACAAGUCAAUUGUGGGAGCAAGAUUGGAAAAAGUGAGUGGGGCUAGUCGGGACAUCCUGCAUGCUGGAGAUUGCACAGAUCCAUUCGUAAGUCAAUUGUGGGAGCAAGAUUGGAAAAAGUGAGUGGGGCCAGUCGGGACAUCCUGCAUGCCGGAGAUUGCAAAGAUCCAUUCGUAAGUUAAUUGUGAGAGCAAGAUUAGAAAAAUGAACGGGGCCAGUCGGGACAUCCUGCAUGACUGAGAUUGCACAGAUCCAUUCGUAAGUUAACUGUGGGAACAAGAUUGGAAAAACGAACGGGGACAGUCGGGACAUCCUGCAUGCCGGAGAUUGCUGGGAGCUAUUCAUAAGUCAAUUGUGGGAGCAAGAUUGGAAAAACGAACGGGGCCAGUCGAGACAUCCUGCAUGCCGGAGAUUGCUGGGAGCUAUUCACAAGUCAAUUGUGGGAGCAAGAUUGGAAAAAGUGAGUGGGGCCAGUCGGGACAUCCUGCAUGCCGGAGAUUGCACAGAUCCAUUCGUAAGUCAAUUGUGGGAGCAAGAUUGGAAAAAGUGAGUGGGGCCAGUCGGGACAUCCUGCAUGCCGGAGAUUGCAAAGAUCCAUUCGUAAGUUAAUUGUGAGAGCAUGAUUAGAAAAAUGAACGGGGCCAGUCGGGACAUCCUGCAUGACUGAGAUUGCACAGAUCCAUUCGUAAGUUAAUUGUGGGAGCAAGAUCGGAAAAAGUGAGUGGGACCAUUCGGGACAUCCUGCAUGACUGAGAUUGCACAGAUCCAUUCGUAAGUUAAUUGUGGGAGCAAGAUUGGAAAAAGUGAGUGGGGCCAGUCGGGACAUCUUGCAUGCUGGAGGUUGCACAGAUCCAUUAGCAUGUCAAUUGUGGGAGCAAGAUUGGAAAAAGUGAGUGGGGACAGUCGGGACAGCCUGCAUGCCGGAGAUUGCACAGAUCCAUUCGUAACUCAAUUGUGGGAGCAAGAUUGGGAAAAGUGAGUGGGACCAUUCGGGACAUCCUGCAUGCCGGAGAUUGCACAGAUCCAUUCAUUAGUCAAUUGUGGGAGCAAGAUUGGAAAAAGUGAGUGGGGCCAGUCGGGACAUCCUGCAUGCCGGAGAUUGCACAGAUCCAUUCGUGAGUUAAUUAUGGGAGCAAGACUGGAAAAACGAUCAGGGACAGUCGGGACAUCCUGCAUGCCAGAGAUUGCUGGGAGCUAUUCACAAGUCAAUUGUGGGAGCAAGAUUGGAAAAAGUGAGUGGGUCUAGUCGGGACAUCCUGCAUGCUGGAGAUUGCACAGAUCCAUUUAUGAGUUAAUUAUGGGAGCAAGAUUGGAAAAAGUGAGUGGGGCCAGUCGGGACAUCCUGCAUGACUGAGAUUGCACAGAUCCAUUAGCAAGUUAAUUGUGGGAGCAAGAUUGGAAAAACGAUCGGGGCCAGUUUGGACAUCCUGCAUGCCGGAGAUUGUACAGAUCCAUUAGCAUGUCAAUUGUGGGUGCAAGAUUGGGAAAAGUGAGUGGGACCAUUUGGGACAUCCUGCAUGCCGGAGAUUGCACAGAUCCAUUUGUGAGUUAAUUAUGGGAGCAAGAUUGGAAAAACGAAAGGGGCCAGUCGGGACAUCCUGCAUGCCGGAGAUUGCUGGGUGCUAUUCACAAGUCAAUUGUGGGAGCAAUAUUGGAAAAAGUGAGUGGGGCCAGUCGGGACAUCCUGCAUGACUGAGAUUGCACAGAUCCAUUAGCAAGUUAAUUGUGGGAGCAAGAUUGGAAAAAGUGAAUGGGGCCAGUCGGGACAUCCUGCAUGCCGGAGAUUGCACAGAUCCAUUUGUGAGUUAAUUAUGGGAGCAAGAUUGGAAAAACGAUCAGGGACAGUUGGGACAUCCUGCAUGCCAGAGAUUGCUGGGAGCUAUUCACAAGUCAAUUGUGGGAGCAAGUUAGGAAAAAGCGAGUGGGGCCAGUCGGGACAUCCUGCAUGCCGGAGAUUGCACAGAUCCAUUCGUAAGUCAAUUGUGGGAGCAAAAUUGGAAAAAGUGCGUGGGGCCAGUCAGGACAUUCUGCAUGCCGGAGAUUGCACAGAUCUAUUCGUAAGUUAAUUAUGGGAGCAAGAUUGGAAAAAUGAACGUGGCCAGUCGGGACAUCCUGCAUGCCGGAGAUUGCUGGGAGCUGUUCACAAGUCAACUGUGGGAGCAAGAUUGGAAAAAGUGAAUGGGGCCAGUCGGGACAUCCUGCAUGACUGAGAUUGCACAGAUCCAUUAGCAAGUUAAUUGUGGGAGCAAGAUUGGAAAAACGAACGGGGACAGUCGGGAUAUCCUGCAUGCCGGAGAUUGCUGGGAGCUAUUCACAAGUCAAUUGUGGGAGCAAUAUUGGAAAAAGUGAGUGCGGCCAGUCGGGACAUCCUGCAUGCCGGAGAUUGCACAGAUCCAUUUGUAAGUCAAUUGUGGGAGCAAGUUAGGAAAAAGCGAGUGGGGCCAGUCGGGACAUCCUGCAUGCUGGAGAUUGCACAGAUCCAUUCGUAAGUCAAUUAUGGGAGCAAGAUUGGAAAAAUGAACGGGGCCAGUCGGGACAACCUGCAUGACUGAGAUUGCACAGAUCCAUUCGUGAGUUAAUUAUGGGAGCAAGAUUGGAAAAAUGAAAGUGGCCAGUCGGGACAUCCUGCAUGCCGGAGAUUGCUGGGAGCUGUUCACAAGUCAACUGUGGGAGCAAUAUUGGAAAAAGUGAGUGGGGCCAGUCGGGACAUCCUGCAUGACUGAGAUUGCACAGAUCCAUUAGCAAGUUAAUUGUGGGAGCAAGAUUGGAAAAACGAACGGGGACAGUCGGGACAUCCUGCAUGCCGGAGAUUGCCGGGAGCUAUUCACAAGUCAAUUGUGGGAGCAAUAUUGGAAAAAGUGAGUGCGGCCAGUUGGGACAUCCUGCAUGCUGGAGAUUGCACAGAUCCAUUCGUAAGUCAAUUGUGGGAGCAAGAUUGGAAAAAGUGAAUGGGGCCAGUCGGGACAUCCUGCAUGCCGGAGAUUGCACAGGUCCAUUAGCAAGUUAAUUGUGGGAGCAAGAUUGGAAAAAGGAACGAGGCCAGUUGGGACAUCCUGCAUGCCGGAGAUUGCACAGAUCCAUUUGUGAGUUAAUUAUGGGAGCAAGAUUGGAAAAACAAUCCGGGACAGUUGGGACAUCCUGCAUGCCAGAGAUUGCUGGGAGCUAUUGACAAGUCAAUUGUGGGAGCAAGAUUGGAAAAAGUGAGUGGGGCCAGUCAGGACAUCCUGCAUGCCGGAGAUUGCUGGGAGCUGUUCACAAGUCAACUGUGGGAGCAAGAUUGGAAAAAGUGAAUGGGGCCAGUCGGGACAUCCUGCAUGACUGAGAUUGCACAGAUCCAUUAGCAAGUUAAUUGUGGGAGCAAGAUUGGAAAAACGAACGGGGACAGUCGGGAUAUCCUGCAUGCCGGAGAUUGCUGGGAGCUAUUCACAAGUCAAUUGUGGGAGCAAUAUUGGAAAAAGUGAGUGCGGCCAGUCGGGACAUCCUGCAUGCCGGAGAUUGCACAGAUCCAUUUGUAAGUCAAUUGUGGGAGCAAGUUAGGAAAAAGCGAGUGGGGCCAGUCGGGACAUCCUGCAUGCUGGAGAUUGCACAGAUCCAUUCGUAAGUCAAUUAUGGGAGCAAGAUUGGAAAAAUGAACGGGGCCAGUCGGGACAACCUGCAUGACUGAGAUUGCACAGAUCCAUUCGUGAGUUAAUUAUGGGAGCAAGAUUGGAAAAAUGAAAGUGGCCAGUCGGGACAUCCUGCAUGCCGGAGAUUGCUGGGAGCUGUUCACAAGUCAACUGUGGGAGCAAUAUUGGAAAAAGUGAGUGGGGCCAGUCGGGACAUCCUGCAUGACUGAGAUUGCACAGAUCCAUUAGCAAGUUAAUUGUGGGAGCAAGAUUGGAAAAACGAACGGGGACAGUCGGGACAUCCUGCAUGCCGGAGAUUGCCGGGAGCUAUUCACAAGUCAAUUGUGGGAGCAAUAUUGGAAAAAGUGAGUGCGGCCAGUUGGGACAUCCUGCAUGCUGGAGAUUGCACAGAUCCAUUCGUAAGUCAAUUGUGGGAGCAAGAUUGGAAAAAGUGAAUGGGGCCAGUCGGGACAUCCUGCAUGCCGGAGAUUGCACAGGUCCAUUAGCAAGUUAAUUGUGGGAGCAAGAUUGGAAAAAGGAACGAGGCCAGUUGGGACAUCCUGCAUGCCGGAGAUUGCACAGAUCCAUUUGUGAGUUAAUUAUGGGAGCAAGAUUGGAAAAACAAUCCGGGACAGUUGGGACAUCCUGCAUGCCAGAGAUUGCUGGGAGCUAUUGACAAGUCAAUUGUGGGAGCAAGAUUGGAAAAAGUGAGUGGGGCCAGUCAGGACAUCCUGCAUGCCGGAGAUUGCACAGAUCCAUUCGUAAGUCAAUUGUGGGAGCAAGAUCGGAAAAAGUGAGUGGGGCCAGUCGGGACAUCCUGCAUGCCGGAGAUUGCACAGAUCCAUUCGUAAGUCAAUUGUGGGAGCAAGAUUGGAAAAAGGAACGAGGCCAGUUGGGACAUCCUGCAUGCUGGAGAUUGCACAGAUCCAUUAGCAUGUCAAUUAUGGGACCAAGGUUGGAAAAAUGAACGGGGACAGUCGGAACAUCCUGCAUGACUGAGAUUGCACAGAUCCAUUCGUGAGUUAAUUAUGGGAGCAAGAUUGGAAAAACGAAAGGGGCCAGUCUGGACAUCCUGCAUGCCGGAGAUUGCUGGGAGCUGUUCACAAGUCAACUGUGGGAGCAAUAUUGGAAAAAGUGAGUGGGGCCAGUCGGGACAUUCUGCAUGACUGAGAUUGCACAGAUCCAUUAGCAAGUUAAUUGUGGGAGCAAGAUUGGAAAAACCAACGAGGCCAGUCGGGACAUCCUGCAUGCCGGAGAUUGCACAGAUCCAUUCGUAAGUUAAUUAUGGGAGCAAGAUUGGUACAACGAAUGGGGACAGUCGGGACAUCCUGCAUGCCGGAGAUUGCUGGGAGCUAUUCACAAGUCAAUUGUGGGAGCAAGAUUGGAAAAAGUGAGUGGGGCCAGUCGGGACAUCCUGCAUGCCGGAGAUUGCACAGAUCCAUUCGUAAGUUAAUUAUGGGAGCAAGAUUGGUACAACGAAUGGGGACAGUCGGGACAUCCUGCAUGCCGGAGAUUGCACAGAUCUAUUCGUAAGUUAAUUAUGGGAGCAAGAUUGGAAAAAUGAACAGGGCCAGUCGGGACAUCCUGCAUGCCGGAGAUUGCUGGGAGCUGUUCACAAGUCAACUGUGGGAGCAAUAUUGGAAAAAGUGAGUGGGGCCAGUCGGGACAUCCUGCAUGACUGAGAUUGCACAGAUCCAUUAGCAAGUUAAUUGUGGGAGCAAGAUUGGAAAAAGGAACGGGGCCAGUUGGGACAUCCUGCAUGACUGAGAUUGCACAGAUCCAUUCGUAAGUUAAUUGUGGGAACAAGAUUGGAAAAACGAACGGGGACAGUCGGAACAUCCUGCAUGCCGGAGAUUGCUGGGAGCUAUUCACAAGUCAAUUGUGGGAGCAAGAUUGGAAAAAGUGAGUCGGGACAGUCGGGACAUCCUGCAUGCUGGAGAUUGCACAGAUCCAUUCGUAAGUCAAUUGUGGGAGCAAGAUUGGAAAAAUGAACGGGGCCAGUCGGGACAUCCUGCAUGCUGGAGAUUGCUGGGAGCUGUUCACAAGUCAACUGUGGGAGCAAGAUUGGAAAAAGUGAGUGGGGCCAGUAGGGACAUCCUGCAUGACUGAGAUUGCACAGGUCCAUUAGCAAGUUAAUUGUGGGAGCAAGAUUGGAAAAAGGAACGAGGCCAGUUGGGACAUCCUGCAUGCUGGAGAUUGCACAGAUCCAUUAGCAUGUCAAUUAUGGGACCAAGGUUGGAAAAAUGAACGGGGACAGUCGGAACAUCCUGCAUGACUGAGAUUGCACAGAUCCAUUCGUGAGUUAAUUAUGGGAGCAAGAUUGGAAAAACGAAAGGGGCCAGUCUGGACAUCCUGCAUGCCGGAGAUUGCUGGGAGCUGUUCACAAGUCAACUGUGGGAGCAAUAUUGGAAAAAGUGAGUGGGGCCAGUCGGGACAUUCUGCAUGACUGAGAUUGCACAGAUCCAUUAGCAAGUUAAUUGUGGGAGCAAGUUUGGAAAAACGAACGAGGCCAGUCGGGACAUCCUGCAUGCCGGAGAUUGCACAGAUCCAUUCGUAAGUUAAUUAUGGGAGCAAGAUUGGUACAACGAAUGGGGACAGUCGGGACAUCCUGCAUGCCGGAGAUUGCUGGGAGCUAUUCACAAGUCAAUUGUGGGAGCAAGAUUGGAAAAAGUGAGUGGGGCCAGUCGGGACAUCCUGCAUGCCGGAGAUUGCACAGAUCCAUUCGUAAGUUAAUUAUGGGAGCAAGAUUGGUACAACGAAUGGGGACAGUCGGGACAUCCUGCAUGCCGGAGAUUGCUGGGAGCUGUUCACAAGUCAACUGUGGGAGCAAUAUUGGAAAAAGUGAGUGGGGCCAGUCGGGACAUCCUGCAUGACUGAGAUUGCACAGAUCCAUUAGCAAGUUAAUUGUGGGAGCAAGAUUGGAAAAAGGAACGGGGCCAGUUGGGACAUCCUGCAUGACUGAGAUUGCACAGAUCCAUUCGUAAGUUAAUUGUGGGAACAAGAUUGGAAAAACGAACGGGGACAGUCGGAACAUCCUGCAUGCCGGAGAUUGCUGGGAGCUAUUCACAAGUCAAUUGUGGGAGCAAGAUUGGAAAAAGUGAGUCGGGACAGUCGGGACAUCCUGCAUGCUGGAGAUUGCACAGAUCCAUUCGUAAGUCAAUUGUGGGAGCAAGAUUGGAAAAAGUGAGUGGGGCCAGUCGGGACAUCCUGCUUGCCGGAGAUCGCUGGGUGAUUAUUCACUUGAGAACGACCAAUACCAAGAAGUCAGACGGAGUGAAGUGGUCAUUGUAGGAAUGGCCAUGUGUGAGUGUACCAGUGCAAGAGUGGUGGAUUUGAGAGUUCAGCGAGAAGGGGCAAAGUGUGGGGUAAGUUUCUGGUAAGCUACUUUCUUUCUUUGUCCAUUAGUGACUAGCUGGUGUAGUGAGAAAGUGCGCAAUGGCAGUGAUGGUUUCUUUAUGUCAAAUCUUAGAAUUCUGGGUGAACUGCUGUCUUCCUGAGAACUACAAUUGCAUGUUGUACAUCCAGCUGCAGCUACUUACAAACCUUGUUAGAGGAAUGGAGCUGCAGUUGGAUGAGCUACAGCUCAUAUGGGAUAAUGAGUAGGAGGUAAUUAAGAUAAGCAGAGAGGUAGUUACCCCUUGUUGCAGGAGACAGAUUGCUGGGUGACUGUCAGGACUGGGAAAGGCAAUAGGCAGAUAGUGCAAAGUAACCCUCUGCUGUUCCCCUCAAUAACAAGUAUAGCACUUUGCAUACUGUUGGGGGGGGGGGGGUGGGGAGGCGAAUUGACCUAAUGGGGGAAAGCCGCACCAUCCAGGUCUCUGGAACUGAGUCUAGCUCUGUGGCUCUGAAGGGAAAUGGGUGAAGAUAAAUACAGUGUUCAGAGGGGAUUCUUACAAGAUUGAUUGAAGUUUUUGAUGAGAGGACGAGGGUGAUUGCUGAAGAUAGGCCUGUGGAUGUCAUCUACAUAGAUUUUAGUAAAGUGUUUAAUAACAUCACUCAUGGGAGGUUGAUGCAGAAGUUUAAGAUGCAUGGGAUUGAUGGUGAAUUGGCUGUUUGGAUUCAGAACUGUCUUGCCUAUUGAAAACAGAGGGUAGUGGUUGAAAGGACCAGUUCUAGCUGGAGGUCUGUGAUUAGUGAUGUUCUGUGGGGAUCAGUACUGGGACCUCUACUGUUUGUGAUGUACUGUACAUAAAUGACAAUUCUUAAAAUGUAGAAUGGUGGGCUAGUAAGUUUGAAGUGCCUUAUACCAGAGGGCAUGCUCUUAAGUAGAGUGGGGGUGAGUUCAGAGGAGAUGUGAGGGGUAAGGUUUUUACACAGAGCGUGAAGUCUGUCUGGGGUGGUGGUAGAGGCAGAUACACUAUGGAAUUUUUAAGAGAUAUUUAGAUAAGCACAUAAACGUGGGAGACUCAGAAAGAUAUAGACGUUGUGUUGGCAGAAGGGAUUAGUGUAGUUGGAUACUUGAUUACUAAUUUAAUUGGUCUGGUAGAACAUUUUGGGCUGAAAGGUCUGUUUCUGUGCUGUACUGUUCUACGUUUUAUGUUCCAUGUUCCAAGUGUGGUCUAACCUAUGCCUUAUAAAGCUUCAGCAUUACAUCCUUCCUUCUAUAUUUUAGUCCUCUUGAAAUAGACAAUAUGUGCAGGAGUAGGCCAUUCAGCCCUUCAAACCAGCACCGCCAUUCAAUGUGAUCAUGGCUGAUCAUCCACAAUCAGUACCCCGUUCCUGCCCUCUCCCCAUAUCCCUUGACCCCGCUAUCUAUAAGAGCUCUAUCUAACUCUUUCUUGAAAGCAUCCAGAGAAUUGGCCUCUACUGCCUUCUGAGGCAGAGCGUUCCACAGAUCCACAACUCUCUGGGUGAAAAAGCUUUUCCUCAACUCCGUUCUAAAUGGCCUACCCCUUAUUCUUAAACUGUGGCCUCUGGUUCUGGACUCACCCAUCAGUGGGAACAUGUUUCCUGCCUCCAGUGUGUCCAAUCCCUUAAUAAUCUUAUAUGUUUCAAUCAGAUCCCCUCUCAUCCUUCUAAAUUCCAGUGUAUACAAGCCAAGUCGCUCCAAUCUUUCAACAAAUGACAGUCACGCCAUUCCGGGAAUUAACCUUGUGAACCUGCACUCCCUCAAUAGCAAAAGUGAAUGCUAACACUGCAUUUGCCUUCCUCACCACCAACUCAACCUGCAAGUUAACCUUUAGGAAUCCUGCACGAGGACUUCCAAGUCCCUUUGCACUUCUGAUUUCUGAAUUUGCUCUCUGUUCAGAAAAUUGUCUACACCUUUACUCCUUCUACCAGAGUGCAUGACCCUAUACUUCCCUACAUUUAGUGCAUGUGCCACUUCUCUGCCCAUUCUCCUAAUCUGUCUAUGUUCUUCUGCAGACUUCUUGUUCCUGAACACUAUCUAUUCCUUCACUUAGCUUUGUAUUGCCUGCACACUUGGCCACAGAGCUAUCAAUUUCUUCAUCCAAAUCUUUGACAUAUGAUGUGAAAAGAAGCAAUUGAACACCGACCCCUGCGGAACUCCUUGUGUCACCUGCACUGGAUACACUCUGUCAUUGGCUCAGUUGUGCAGCAGACAGCAGCCAAUGAGGCAGCCCUCACACCUGCUGAAUGUCUACUGUAGGAUGCUACUGGACUGACACUGGCUCUGGAAUCACUUUUGCAGAAAACACCUGGCAUCUUCCACCCUGAUUCUGAUGUUCGGAUGACCCUCAUUGCAACGGUGCUCAGCUGUAGCGGCGAGACUCCAGGAAUGCAGAGAGUUAUGUUUUCCCGUCAGAGUCCAGUCCUUUGGGUAAUGUUUUCUUUGGAAAUUGUCUGGCAGUUUGACCUCCAUGAGAUGAAGUCAUCAUUCUCCUUAGAAAUGUGGCAUUGACCUUCAAGAAAUUUGAAUGGUGAUGCACAGCCAUCUGAUCGUUCAGCAAGUGUAAACCUUUCCUGUUACUGAAAAGACACAGGUAAUUGAAGUGAGCACCUGUUGACCAUAUAUGCAGUUCCUGCUGCCUUCACUUGUGGAAAAACCCAUUGGCACCUGAAAUGAAGAUAGGUGAAACUGUCCGUCCAUACCGGCUGAUGUCUCUGGUGGAAAGAAAUUGGGUGACGUGGCAGAGAUCAGGUGCAACCCUUCGGGAAGAUCUGGUGGUGAGUAAGCUGAUUGUCAAUGCAACCUUGACCUUCAUGGAGUGGCAAAGGCACGUGAGCAUGACAAGAGAUUUGCUGGUGAUUCCACUGUGUUCAAUUCCAUAUACAAUUCUUCAGCAAAUGAAUGUAUGCAGGGGCUGACAAGCAUGGGAUCACAAGGAGCUAUUGACAAGUCAAUUGUGGGAACAAGAUUGGAAAAAGCAAGAGCGACCAGUCGAGACAUUCUGCAUGCCGGAGGUUGCUAGGAUCCAUUCUCAAGUCAAUUGUGGGAGAAAAGGUUUGAAAAAGUGAGUGGUGCAAGACGAGAAAUUCUGUAUGACCGAGACUGCGGGGUGAUUAUGCACUUGACAAAGGCCAAUAACAAGAAGUCAGAUAUAAGCGAAGGGUCACUACGGAAAUGGCCAUUGUGUUACUGGGACAGUGUUACAGUGCAAGAUUUGUAGCUUGGCUCAAAGAGGUGAAGCGUAAGGUAAGUUUCUGGUAAGCUCCUUUCUUUCUUUGUCUAGCUAGCGUAGAGAGAAUGUGUCCAGUUUCAGUGGGUCCUCAUGUCAGAUGUGGGAAUUCUGGACGAAGAGUAGUCUCUCUGGAAACAGCAAUUGCAAGAAAUGCAUCCAACUGCAGCUCCUUACAGACUGUUUUAGGGAACUAGAGCUGCAUUUGGGUGACCUACAGCUCAUAUGGGAGAAUGAAGAGGAGAUAGUUAAGAACUACAGAGAGGUAUCACUCCUAAGUUGCAGGGGCAGGUAGCUGGGUGACUGUCAGGAGACGGAAAGGGAAUAGACAGAUAUUGUUAUGUAGAGUACCUGCGUGCUGUUCCCCUCAAUAAGAAGUAUACCCCUUUGGAUACUGUUGAUGGGGGAGGACGAGCUACCUUAUGGUGGCAUGUCACAGGGUUGAGGUUACUGAGCCAGAAGGGAAGUGGGGAGAAGAGGAGUACCACAUUCAGAGGGGAUUCUACACUUAGGCAAGCAGACAGGCGAUUAAAUGGAUGUGAAAGAGACACCCAGAUGGAAUUUUGUUUCCCAGUUGACAAGUGAUGUUUCAGAUCAGUCCACAGCAUUCUAUAGAUGGAGGGUGAGCGGACGGAAGUUGUGGCGCAUAUUGGUACCCACAACAUAUGGUAAGAAAAUGGAUGAAGUCCUGAAGAGGGAAUGUUUGGAUUUAGAAAGUAAGCUGAAAAGCAGGACCUCACGGGAAGUAAUCUCUUAAGUGCUGCAUGUGCUAUGGACCAGUAAGGGUAAGAAUAGGAUGAUUUGGCACACCAAUGCAUGGCUGAGGACCUGGUGCAGGGGACAGUGUGUCUAUUUUAAUACUAUCAGCAAAAAGGGUAAAGAACUUAAAGCAUGAAUCAGUACAAAGAAAUAUGACUUUCUGGCCACUACACAGACAGGCCUGUCACAAGGGCAGGUAAAGCUGGUGGAUGUUUUAGCAUUUAUAUAUUUCAAUAGGGAUAUGGAGGGAGGUGAAAGAGGUGUGGAAGUGUCAUUGUUAACCAAGGGUAGCAUCACAGCUGCAGAAAAAGAACGUAACAUGAAGGUGCUGUCUACCUAGUGUAGGUGGAAAUCAGAAGCAAGAAAGGAGCUAUUACUCUAUUGGAAUACUCAGUUGAACUCACCACCCCCACCCCAAUCCCCAUUUGUAACAGAGACACUGAGGAACAGAUCGGAAUGCAAUAUUUGAAAGGUGUAGAAAUACUAGGGAUAUUUUCAUGUGGUUCUUCAACUUUCCUAAUAUUCAUUGGUACCUCCUUAGUUGAAAGGUUUAGAUGGGGUGGAAUUUGUUAGGCGUGUCCAGGAAGUACUCUAUGUAGACAGACUGAUGAGUUAAAGACCACACUAUAUGCGGUGCUGGGCAGAGUGUUGGUUCUCUUGAAGAGCAUAAAGGUGGACAUGCCCCAGUCCCUGAUGGGAUAUACAACAGGUUAUGGAGGAGGAAAGAGAUGACAUUACCGGGGCCUUGACCAAUAUCUUCAUGUCCUCUCUUGCCACAGGAAAGGCCCUGGAGGACUGGUGAGUAGGUAAUUCUGUUCACUUUUUCAACAAGAGAAAAAUGGAUAAUCUUGGAAACUAUAGUGUGACGAGUCUUACAUCAGUGGUAAGGAUGGUACUGGAGAGUAUUCAUAGCAAUAGGGUUGAUGAGCAUUUGGAAAUCCAUGGCUGAGUUAGGAAAAGCCAGCAUGGCUUUGUGCUGGGCAAAUUGUGCCUUACCAACUUGAUAAGAGUUUUUUGACGAAGUGAGAAGGGCAAUUUAUGAAGGUAGAGGUGAGGAUGUUAUUUACAUGGAUUUUACUAAGGUGUUUGAUAGGGUCUCUCAUGGGAGGCUCAUGCAGACAUUUAAGAUGCAUGGGGUUGAUGGCAAAUUGGCUGUUCAGAUUCAGCGCCAGCUUGCCUAUUUAAAAUAGUGAGUAGUGGUUGAAGGACGUAUUCUAGCUGGAGAUGUGUGAUUAGUGGUGUUCCACAGGGAUCAGUACUCGGACUUCUACUGUUUGUGAUGUUCUGUAUAUAAAUGGGAAGGAAUGAAAAUGUAGAUGGGUGGGUUAGUAAGUUUGAAAUGUCUAAUACUGGAGGGCAUGCUCUUAAGGUGAGAGGGAAUGAGUUCAAAGGAUGUUGAAGGGCAAGUGUUACACACAGCCUGAGAUGUGCCGAGGGGUGGUAGAGGCAGAUAGAUUUCAGAUUUUUAAGAGAUGUUUAGAUAAGCACAUGAAUGUGAGGGAAAAUGAAGGAUGCAGAUAUUGUGUAAGCAGAAUGGAUUAGUUUGGUUGGCCAUUUGAUUAUUAAUUUAAUUGGACCAAUACAACAUUGUGGGCUGAAAGGUCUGUUCCUGUGUUGUACCGUCCUAUGUUCCAAGUAUGUGACCAAUGCCUCAUAAAAUUUCUGCCUUGAUUUUGCAAGUUCAUCUUCAGGAAUCCUGCACAAGGUAACCCAAGCCCCGUUACACCUGAUUUCUGAAUUUGCUCCCCAUUUAGAGAGCAAUCUAUGCCUUUAAACCUUCUACCAAAUACUUCCGUACCUGUAGACCACCUGCCACUUCUUUGUCCAUUCUCCAAAUCCAUCUAAGCUCCUCUGCAGGCCCCCUUGUUCAUGAACACGACCUGUUCCUCCACAUAGCUUUGUGUUGCCAGCAAAUUUAGCCACAAAGCCAUCAAUUCCUUGGUCCAAAUCAUUGAACAAAUACAUGAAAAGAACAUGACUCCUGUAGAACUCCACAUAUCACCGACAGCCAACCAGGAAAGCCUCCACUUCUUCCUCUAGUACUGGUGCAGUUGGGCGGCAUAUACUGAACAAAUGAGGCAGCCCUCACACCUGCUGGAUGUCUACUGUAGGAUGCUACUGGACUGACACUGGCUCUGGAAUCACUUUUGCAGAAAACACCUGGCAUCUUCCACCCUGAUUCUGAUGUUCGGAUGACCCUCAUUGCAACGGUGCUCAGCUGUAGCGGCGAGACUCCAGGAAUGCAGAGAGUUAUGUUUUCCUGUCAGAGUCCAGUCCUUUGGGUAAUGUUUUCUUUGGAAAUUGUCUGGCAGUUUGACCUCCAUGAGAUGAAGUCAUCAUUCUCCUUAGAAAUGUGGCAUUGACCUUCAAGAAAUUUGAAUGGUGAUGCACAGCCAUCUGAUCGUUCAGCAAGUGUAAACCUUUCCUGUUACUGAAAAGACACAGGUAAUUGAAGUGAGCACCUGUUGACCAUAUAUGCAGUUCCUGCUGCCUUCACUUGUGGAAAAACCCAUUGGCACCUGAAAUGAAGAUAGGUGAAACUGUCCGUCCAUACCGGCUGAUGUCACUGGUGGAAAGAAAUUGGGUGACGUGGCAGAGAUCAGGUGCAACCCUUCGGGAAGAUCUGGUGGUGAGUAAGCUGAUUGUCAAUGCAACCUUGACCUUCAUGGAGUGGCAAAGGCACGUGAGCAUGACAAGAGAUUUGCUGGUGAUUCCACUGUGUUCAAUUCCAUAUACAACUCUUCAGCAAAUGAAUGUAUGCAGGGGCUGACAAGCAUGGGAUCACAAGGAGCUAUUGACAAGUCAAUUGUGGGAACAAGAUUGGAAAAAGCAAGAGCGACCAGUCGAGACAUUCUGCAUGCCGGAGGUUGCUAGGAUCCAUUCUCAAGUCAAUUGUGGGAGAAAAGGUUUGAAAAAGUGAGUGGCACAAGACGAGAAAUUCUGUAUGACCGAGACUGCGGGGUGAUUAUGCACUUGACAAAGGCCAAUAACAAGAAGUCAGAUAUAAGCGAAGGGUCACUACGGAAAUGGCCAUUGUGUUACUGGGACAGUGUUACAGUGCAAGAUUUGUAGCUUGGCUCAAAGAGGUGAAGCGUAAGGUAAGUUUCUGGUAAGCUCCUUUCUUUCUUUGUCUAGCUAGCGUAGAGAGAAUGUGUCCAGUUUCAGUGGGUCCUCAUGUCAGAUGUGGGAAUUCUGGACGAAGAGUAGUCUCUCUGGAAACAGUAAUUGCAAGAAAUGCAUCCAACUGCAGCUCCUUACAGACUGUUUUAGGGAACUAGAGCUGCAUUUGGGUGACCUACAGCUCAUAUGGGAGAAUGAGGAGGAGAUAGUUAAGAACUACAGAGAGGUAUCACUCCUAAGUUGCAGGGGCAGGUAGUUGGGUGACUGUCAAGAGACGGAAAGGGAAUAGACAGAUAUUGUUAUGUAGAGUACCUGUGUGCUGUUCCCCUCAAUAAGAAGUAUACUGUUGAUGGGGGAGGAUGAGCUACCUUAUGGGGGCAUGUCACAGGGUCAGGUUUUAUCAAAUAAAAUUGAUAUAUGAAUUUGCUUCCUUUUUAGAAAAUAGUCUACAUCUUUACUCAUUCUACCAAACUGCAUUACCUUAUAAUUCCCUGUGCCAUGUCCCAUCUGCCACUUCUUUGUCCAUUCUCCUAAUAUAUCUAAGUCUUUCUGCAGACUCCCAUCUUAUCAACACUACCUGCCCCUCCAUCCAGUUUUUUUAUUGCCCAUAGAGGUGGCCACAAAACCAUCAAUCCCUUCAUCCAAAUCACUGGCACAUGAGGUGAAAAGAAGCAGUCCUAAUACUGACACCUAUGGAACACCACGUCACUGGCAGCCAACCAGGAAAGUCCCCACUUCUUGUUCUGACACUGGAUACACUCUGUCAUUGGCUCAGUUGGGCGGCAUAUACCGAACAAAUGAGGCAGCCCUCACACCUGCUGGAUGUCUACUGUAGGAUGCUACUGGACUGACACUGGCUCUGGAAUCACUUUUGCAGAAUACACCUGGCAUCUUCCACCCUGAUUCUGAUGUUUGGAUGACCCUCAUUGCAACGGUGCUCAGCUGUAGCGGCGAGACUCCAGGAAUGCAAAGAGUUAUGUUUUCCUGUCAGAGUCCAGUCCUUUGGGUAAUGUUUUCUUUGGAAAUUGUCUGGCAGUUUGACCUCCAAGAGAUGAAGUCAUCAUUCUCCUUAGAAAUGUGGCAUUGACCUUCAAGAAAUUUGAAUGGUGAUGCACAGCCAUCUGAUCGUUCAGCAAGUGUAAACCUUUCCUGUUACUGAAAAGACACAGGUAAUUGAAGUGAGCACCUGUUGACCAUGCGGGGUUCCCCCGCUAUUCGAAGGUAGAACAUUCCUAUGAAAUGGUUCAUAAGCCGGAAUGUCGUAAACGAAGAAGCAAUUACCAUUUAUUUAUAUGGGAAAAAUUUGUGUGUGUUCCCAGACCCAAAAAAUAACCUACAAAAUCAUGCCAAGGAACACAUAAAACCUGAAAUAACAGGAACAUAUAGUAAAAGUAGGAAUGAUAUGAUAAAUACACAGCCUAUAUAAAGUGGAAAUACUUUUCUGCAAUCAUUGCAGCACUGUCUAGCAUAGCGAAAAUCUCACUACGUAUAAUCUCACUACGUAGCGGAAGCAGUCUCUCCAGUAACCUUUAAGCUACGAGGCUGCCAAAUCAUCUCAAAUAACCCAUAAAAAUACACAGCCUAUAUAGAGUAGAAAUAAUGUAUGUACAGUGUAGUUUCACUUACGGGAAUCGGAAGACAGUGAGCACACUGAUGACGGUGUGUUAGGCUGAGUCAUCAGAGGUUGGGGUGCUCAGCAAUUUUUUCCAAUAAAUUGCAGUUUCGUCACAGUUAAACACUUGCUUAUACGAAUAACCACCUUCUGUAAUUAUUUUCUUCAGUUCUGCUGGGAACUUUUCAGCAGUUUCAGUAUCAGCCGAAGCACUGUCUCCAGUAAACUUUAAGCCAUGAAGCUGCCCUCACCUCAGAAACUGAUCAAACCACACAUGACUACCUUUAAAUUCCACUUUUGCAACACUUCCAUCACCAUUGUCCAGUGCUUUCUGUUUCAGCUUAUUAAACAGACUGACUAGUUUCUCCUUAAGUAUCAGAUAACUUAACGGAACACCACGCUUUGUACACCCAUCAAUCCACUCAAGCAAUAGACUUUCCAUUUUAUCCAUUAUUGGAUGCUGACUAAGAGAGACCACUUUGCUAUGAGCAGAACCUACAGUAACAUCGGCAGCUUUCAAGAUUCUGUCUCUCUGCGUGUAAAUAGUGCGAAUGGUGGACGCAGGCAAGUUCAAUGUGCGGACAAUGUCCUUACUUCGUUCACCAUGAUCAAAACGCUUAAUUAUGUCUAGUUUUACGCUAAGUGUAACACCCUUACGAGCUCUUUUAGGUUUUUCUGAUACCUUAGAACUCAUCUUGCUAACGGAUGCACAAAAUAAAUCAACAUAAAGCACAGUCACAGUCACGUGCUCACUGUCACAGGCACGUGUUUAAGCAGUGCCAGCUAGAAUGCAGUUCCGGGGGAGGAGCUUGGCUGCUUGGGGUGUGCGCUGCCUUUUUUCAUAAAAGUGAAAGCACCUGUUAGCAGAAACAGGUAACUAAUGUAGAUCUUCCGUAACAGCGAGGUGUCGUAAAGUGAAUGUCCGAAAAAUGGGGGCCACCUGUAUAUGCAGUUACUGCUGCCUUAAUUUGUGGAAAAACCCAUUGGUACCUGAAAUGAAGAUAGGUGAAACCGUCCGUCCAUACCGGCUGAUGUCUGGUGGAAACAAAUUGGGUGGCGUGGCAGAGAUCAGGUGCAACCCUUUGAGAAGAUCUGGUGGUGAACAAGUUGAUUGUCAAUGCAAACUUGACCUUCAUGGAGCGGCAACAUGUUGGUGAUUGCAAUGUGUUCAAUUUCAUGUACAACUCUUCAGCAAAUGAUUGCAUACAUAUGCUGAUAAGUUUGAGUUUCCUGGAACUAUUGGAAAUUCAAUGAAGGAGUGACAUUUGAAAAAGUGAGCAGGGCCAGUUGGAACAUUCUGCACGUUUGAGAUUGCAAGGAGCCGUUAACAAUCAGUUGUGGGAGCAAGAUGUGAAAAAGUGAGUAGUGCCUGUCUGGACAUUCUGCACACCUGAGAUCACAUGGUGGUUAUGCUCUUAACAAGGCCCAAUAAAAACAACUCGGGUGUAAGCGAAGCAAUCAUUGUGGGAUUGGCCAUUAUGUGAGUGGGCUACUGUUAGAGUGGAAGAUUUGAUGCUUGGCUCAAAGAGGCUUCGGUGUGAAUAGGCAAAGGGUAAGGUAAGUUUCUGGUAAGUUUCUUUCUUUCUUUGUAUAUUAGUGUAGUGUAGUGAGAAAGUGUCCAGUGUCAGUGAUGGGUACCUCAUGUUGGAUGUGGGAAUUCUGGGUGAACUGCAGUCUCUUUGAGAACUACAUUUGAAUGAUGUGCACCAGCUGCAGCUACUUACAGACCGUGUUAGGGAAAUGGAACAACAGUUUGAUGAGCUACAGCUCAUUCAGGAGAACGAGGAGGAGGUAGUUAAGAUCUGCAGAGAGGCAGGUAGCUGAGUGACUGUCAGGAGAGGGAAAGGGAAUGGGCAGGUUGUCCUGAAUACAUUUCUGCUGUUCCACUAAGCAACAUGUUUACCAGUUUCAAUACUAUUGAGGGGUGAGGGGAGGUUGGGGACCUACCUAAUGGGAGACAGCCGCAGGAUCCAGGUUUCUGGUACUGAGUGUGGUCUGUGGCUUUGAAGGGGAGUUGAGAGAAGAGGAGUGCAAUGUUGAAGGAAUUUUAUACUUAGGUAAGAGGACAGGUGGUAAUGUGGACAUGAAAGAGACACCCAGAUGAUAUGUUCCUUUCCAGGUGCCAGGGUCAGUGAUAUUUCAGAUCAGUCCGUAUCAUUCUAUAGAUGGAGAGUGAGCAGACAGAAAUUGUGGUACAUAUUGGUACCCACAACAUAUGGUAGGAAAAUGGAUGAGGUCCUGAAGAGGGAAUGUUGGGAUUUAGAAAGAAAGCUGAAAAGCAGGACCUCACGGGAAGUAAUCUCUGAAGUGCUGCAUGUGCUAUGCGCCAGUAAGGGUAAGAAUAGGAUGAUUUGGCACACCAAUGCAUGGCUGAGGACCUGGUGCAGGGGCAAGACUUAAGGAUUUUUGAAUCCUUAGUAUCUCUUCAGGAGAGAUACUAUGACCUCCUUAGUGCAAAAACUUUAGAAAUAAAGAAUAGAAUUAGGAAAUCUACAGCACAUUACAAGCCCUUUGGCAUACAAUGUUGUACCAACCAUGUAACCUACUUUAGAAGCUGCCAGGAAUUUCCCUACUGCAUAACCCUUUAUUUUUCUGAGCUCCAUGUACAUAUCUAAGAGUCUCUUAAAAGACUCUAUUGUAUCCACCUCUACCACCUUCGCUGGCAGUGCAUUCCACAAAUGUCGAUGGUGCAGAAUUUGUUAGGUGUGUCCAGGAAGCAUACUUGACACAAUAUGCAGAUAGGCCAUUGAGAGGAGAAGCCACACUAUGUGUGUGGAGAAGCCAGGCAGAAUAUUAGUUUGUUUGAAGAGCAUAAAGAUGGAUAAGACCCCAGUGCCUGAUAGGAAAUGCACCAGGUUAUUGAGAGAGGAAAGAGAUGAAAUUACUGGGGCCUUGACCAACAGUGGUAGAGAAGUUACUGGAGAGAAACCAUAGGGAUAGAAGUUAUGAGCAUUUGAAAAGCCAUGAGCAAGUUAGGAAAAGUCAGCAUGGGUUUAUGCAGGGCAAAUUGUGUCAUAACAACUUGAUUGUGUUUUUUGACAAAGUGACAAGGGUGACUGAUGAAGGUAGAUCUGUCAAUGUUGUCUACAUGGAUUUUAGAAAGGUGUUUGAGACCUUAGCAUUGGGAUAAGGUGCAUGCCUCAUGGGAAGCUGAUGCAGAAGUUUAAGAUGCAUGGGAUUGAUGGUGAAUUGGCUGUUUGGAUUCAGAACUGUCUUGCCAAUUGAAAACAGAGGGUAGUGGUUGAAAGGACCAGUUCUAGCUGGAGGUCUGUGAUUAGUGAUGUUCUGUGGGGAUCAGUACUGGGACCUCUACUGUUUGUGAUAUACUGUACAUAAAUGACAAGAAUGAAAAUGUAGAUGGGUGGGUUAGUAAGUUUGAAAUGUAUGAUACUGGAGUGCAUGCAUUUAAGUUUGGGGGGGGGGUGAGUUCAAAGGAGAUGUGAGGGCUAAUGCUUUUACACAGAGUAUGAGGUGUGCCUGGGGUGGGGUUGGAAGCAGUUACAUUACGGAUGCUUGUGGGAUGUUUAGAUAAGCACACAAAUGUGAAGGAAAUGGAGGCAUAUAGACCUUAUGUAGGCAAAAGUGAUUUGUUUAGUUGGCCGUUUGAUUACUAAUUUAAUUGGUUCAGCACAACACUGUGGGCCAAAGAGUCUGUUCCUGUGCUGUACUGUUCUGUGAUGUAAUUACAGUCUGACCAGUGCCUUAUAAAGCUUCAGCAUUACAUGCUUGCUUUUAUCCUUUUCAAAUUGAAUCCUAACAUUGAAUUUACCUUCCUUACCAGAGAUUCAACUUGCAAGUUCACCUUUAGGAAUCCUGCAUGAAGACUUCCAAGUCCCUUUGCAUCUUUGAUUUAUGAAUUUGCUCCCUAUUCAGAAAAUAGUCUACAUCUUUACUCAUUCUACCAAACUGCAUUACCCUGUAAUUACCUGUGCCAUGUCCCAUCUGCCACUUCUUUGUCCAUUCUCCUAAUAUGUCUAAGUCCUUCUGCAGACUCCCAUCUUCUCAACACUGCCUGCCCCUCCAUCCAGUUUUUUUAUUGCCCAUAGAGGUGGCCACAAAGAUAUUAAUCCCUUCAUCCAAAUCACUGGCACAUGAGGUGAAAAGAAGCAGUCCUAAUACUGGCACCUAUGGAACACCACAUCACUGGCAGCCAACCAGGAAAGUCCCCACUUCUUGUUCUGACACUGGAUACACUCUGUCAUUGGCUCAGUUGGGCGGCAUAUACUGAACAAAUGAGGCAGCCCUCACACCUGCUGGAUGUCUACUGUAGGAUGCUACUGGACUGACACUGGCUCUGGAAUCACUUUUGCAGAAAACACCUGGCAUCUUCCACCCUGAUUCUGAUGUUCGGAUGACCCUCAUUGCAACGGUGCUCAGCUGUAGCGGCGAGACUCCAGGAAUGCAGAGAGUUAUGUUUUCCUGUCAGAGUCCAGUCCUUUGGGUAAUGUUUUCUUUGGAAAUUGUCUGGCAGUUUGACCUCCAUGAGAUGAAGUCAUCAUUCUCCUUAGAAAUGUGGCAUUGACCUUCAAGAAAUUUGAAUGGUGAUGCACAGCCAUCUGAUCGUUCAGCAAGUGUAAACCUUUCCUGUUACUGAAAAGACACAGGUAAUUGAAGUGAGCACCUGUUGACCAUAUAUGCAGUUCCUGCUGCCUUCACUUGUGGAAAAACCCAUUGGCACCUGAAAUGAAGAUAGGUGAAACUGUCCGUCCAUACCGGCUGAUGUCACUGGUGGAAAGAAAUUGGGUGACGUGGCAGAGAUCAGGUGCAACCCUUCGGGAAGAUCUGGUGGUGAGUAAGCUGAUUGUCAAUGCAACCUUGACCUUCAUGGAGUGGCAAAGGCACGUGAGCAUGACAAGAGAUUUGCUGGUGAUUCCACUGUGUUCAAUUCCAUAUACAACUCUUCAGCAAAUGAAUGCAUAUAUGUGCUAAAAAGCCUGGGUUUGCAUCGAACCAUUGGUGUGUCAAUUGCUGGAAUGAGAUUUGAAAAAGAGAGCAUGGCCAGUUGGGACUUUCUGCAUACCAUGAAUUGUGAGGAAUCAUUAGCAAAUCAAUUUUGGAAGAAAGAUUUGAAAAAGUGAGCAGGACCAAUUGAAACAUUCUGCACAUCUGAGAUUGCAAGGAGCCAUUAGCAAUCUGUUGUGGAAGUGAGAUGUGAAAAAGCAUGUGACGUCGGUUUGGACAUUCUGCACACCUGAGAUCGCAGGGUGGUUAUGCACCUAUCAAGGGCCAAUAAAAACGACUCGGGUGUAAGCAAAGCAAUCAUCGUGGGAUUGGCCAUUAUGUGAGUAGGCCACUGUUAGAGUGGAGGAUUUGAGGCUUGGCUCAAAGAGGCUUUGGCGAGAAUAGGCAAAAGGUAAGGUAAGUUUCUGGUAAGUUUCUUUCUUUCUUUGUAUAUUAGUGCAUAGCUAGCAUAGUGAGAAAGUGUCCAGUGUCAGUGAAGGGUACUUCAUGUUGGAUGUGGGAAUUCUGGGUGAACUGCAGUCUCCCUGAGAACUACAUUUGAAUGAGGUACUUUUAGCUGCAGCUCCUUACAGACUGUGUUAGGGAACUGGAGCUGCAUUUGGGUGACCUACAGCUUCUAUGAGAGAAUGAGGAGAUAGUUAAGAUCUAUGGAGAGGUAUCACUCCUAAGUUGUAGGAGGCAGGUAGCUGGGUUAUUGUCAGGAGAGAGAAAGGGAAUAGGCAGGUUGUGCUAAAUACUCCUGUGCUGUUCUAUUCAGUAACAAGUAUACCAGUUUGGAUAUCUUUGUGAGGGACGGGGAGCCACCUAACGGGGGAAAGCUGUGGUGUCCAGGUCUCUGGUACUGAGUCUAGCUCUGCGGCUCAGAAGGGGAGCGGGGAGAAAAGGAGUGCAGUGUUGAGAGGGGAUUUUAUACUUAGAUGAGCAGACAGUCAAUUCUAUGGACAUGAAAGAGACCCCUAUAUGGUAUGUUGCUUCCCAGUUGCCAGGGUCAGCAAUAUUUCAGAUUAGCCACAACAUUCUAAAUACGGAAAGUGAGUAGCCAGAAGUUGUGGUAUAUAUUGGUACCCACAACAUAUAGGUAGGAAAAGGAAUGAGGUCAGGAAGAGAGAGUCCGGAGUUAAGAAGUAAGCUGAAAAGCAGGACCUCAAGGGUAGUAAUCUCUGAAGUGCUGCAUGUGCUAUGUGCUAGUGAGGUUAAGAGUAGGGUGAUUUGGCAGAUGAAUGCAUGGCUGAGGAACUGUGUAGGGAUCAGAGUUUCAUAUUUUUGGAAGGUUGGUAUCUCUUCUGGGGAGGAUAUGACCUAUGCAAAAAGGACAAGUUACACCUGAACAUGAGAGGGACUAAAUACCACUACAGGGAGGUUUGCUGGAGCUGUUGGUGAGGAUUUAAACUAGUUUGGCAGAGGGAUGGAUGCCAGAGGAUGGGGCAGUUGGUGUGCAGGUAGAUGCAGCAUGUAGAGAGACUGAGAAAGACAGGCAUUCAAUAGGAUAAAACUACAAUAUAUGGGAUUGGGUGAAGUGUGUCUAUUUUAAUGCUAUCAGCAACAAGGGUAAAGAACUUAGAGCAUGGAUCAGUACAUGAAACUAUGAUGUUUUGGCCAUUACAGAGUCAGACCUGUCACAAGGGCAGGGGUGGCUGGUGGAUGUAUCAGGUUUUAGGUGUGACAAAAUUGACAGGAAGGGAGGUAAAAGAAGUGGGGAAGUGGCAUUGCUAAUCAAGGAUAGUAUCACAGGUGCAUAAAGGAAGGGUGGCGUGAAGACACUGUCUACUGAGACACUGUGGGUGUAAGUCUGAAACAGUAAAAAGAGCAAGGACUCAUUUUUUAAUGUUCGAUAGACCCUCCUAACAGCAACAAAGAUACUGAGGAUUAGAUCAGGAGUCAGAUUUUGGAAAGGUACAGAAAAGAACAGGGCUGUUGUUAAGGGGAACUUAAACUUCUCUGAUUUUGAUUGGCAUUUGCUGAGUCAAAUGGUUUAGAUGGGGUGGAAUUUGUUAGGUGUGUCCAGGAAGCACUCCUGACACAAUACGUAGACAGGCCAACGAGAUUAGAGCCCACACUAUAUCUGGCGCUAGGCCUGAUGGGAUAUACAACAGGUUAUUGAGAGAGGCAGGAGAUGAGAUUACUGGGACCUUGAUUAAAACAUUUGUGUCCUCUCUACCUGCAGUCAAGAUUCCAGACGACUUUCAAUUUGCUAAUGUUGUUACCAUAGUCAAUAAGUGAACCAGGGAAAUUCCUGAACACCAUAUUCCGGCAAGUUGCAUGUCAGAGAUAGGUAAGUUACUGAAGAGAAUUUGAAGGGGAAGGAAUUAAGAGCAUUUUGCAAACCAUGGCUGAUUUAGGGAGAACCAAUAUAGCUUUGUGCAGGACAAGUUGUGUCUUGCUAACUUGACUGAGCUUUUUGAGGAGAUGAUAAAGGUAGAUCUGUGAAUGUUAUCGACAUGGAUUUUAUUAAGGUGUUUGACAAUGUCCCUCAUGGGAGGCUGAUGGAGAAGUUUAAGGUGCAUGGGAUUGAUGGUGAAUUGGCUGUUUGGAUUCAGAACUGUCUUGCCUAUUGAAAACAGAGGGUAGUGGUUGAAAGGACCAGUUCUAGCAGGAGGUCUGUGAUUAGUGAUGUUCUGCAGGGAUCAGUACUGGGACCUCUACUGUUUGUGAUAUACUGUACAUAAAUGACAAGAAUGAAAAUGUAGAUGGGUGGGUUAGUAAGUUUGAAAUGUAUGAUACUGGAGUGCAUGCAUUUAAGUUUGGGGGGGGGUGAGUUCAAAGGAGAUGUGAGGGCUAAUGCUUUUACACAGAGUAUGAGGUGUGCCUGGGGUGGGGUUGGAAGCAGUUACAUUACGGAUGCUUGUGGGAUGUUUAGAUAAGCACACAAAUGUGAAGGAAAUGGAGGCAUAUAGACCUUAUGUAGGCAAAAGUGAUUUGUUUAGUUGGCCGUUUGAUUACUAAUUUAAUUGGUUCAGCACAACACUGUGGGCCAAAGAGUCUGUUCCUGUGCUGUACUGUUCUGUGAUGUAAUUACAGUCUGACCAGUGCCUUAUAAAGCUUCAGCAUUACAUGCUUGCUUUUAUCCUUUUCAAAUUGAAUCCUAACAUUGAAUUUACCUUCCUUACCAGAGAUUCAACUUGCAAGUUCACCUUUAGGAAUCCUGCAUGAAGACUUCCAAGUCCCUUUGCAUCUUUGAUUUAUGAAUUUGCUCCCUAUUCAGAAAAUAGUCUACAUCUUUACUCAUUCUACCAAACUGCAUUACCCUGUAAUUACCUGUGCCAUGUCCCAUCUGCCACUUCUUUGUCCAUUCUCCUAAUAUGUCUAAGUCCUUCUGCAGACUCCCAUCUUCUCAACACUGCCUGCCCCUCCAUCCAGUUUUUUUAUUGCCCAUAGAGGUGGCCACAAAGAUAUUAAUCCCUUCAUCCAAAUCACUGGCACAUGAGGUGAAAAGAAGCAGUCCUAAUACUGGCACCUAUGGAACACCACAUCACUGGCAGCCAACCAGGAAAGUCCCCACUUCUUGUUCUGACACUGGAUACACUCUGUCAUUGGCUCAGUUGGGCGGCAUAUACUGAACAAAUGAGGCAGCCCUCACACCUGCUGGAUGUCUACUGUAGGAUGCUACUGGACUGACACUGGCUCUGGAAUCACUUUUGCAGAAAACACCUGGCAUCUUCCACCCUGAUUCUGAUGUUCGGAUGACCCUCAUUGCAACGGUGCUCAGCUGUAGCGGCGAGACUCCAGGAAUGCAGAGAGUUAUGUUUUCCUGUCAGAGUCCAGUCCUUUGGGUAAUGUUUUCUUUGGAAAUUGUCUGGCAGUUUGACCUCCAUGAGAUGAAGUCAUCAUUCUCCUUAGAAAUGUGGCAUUGACCUUCAAGAAAUUUGAAUGGUGAUGCACAGCCAUCUGAUCGUUCAGCAAGUGUAAACCUUUCCUGUUACUGAAAAGACACAGGUAAUUGAAGUGAGCACCUGUUGACCAUAUAUGCAGUUCCUGCUGCCUUCACUUGUGGAAAAACCCAUUGGCACCUGAAAUGAAGAUAGGUGAAACUGUCCGUCCAUACCGGCUGAUGUCACUGGUGGAAAGAAAUUGGGUGACGUGGCAGAGAUCAGGUGCAACCCUUCGGGAAGAUCUGGUGGUGAGUAAGCUGAUUGUCAAUGCAACCUUGACCUUCAUGGAGUGGCAAAGGCACGUGAGCAUGACAAGAGAUUUGCUGGUGAUUCCACUGUGUUCAAUUCCAUAUACAACUCUUCAGCAAAUGAAUGCAUAUAUGUGCUAAAAAGCCUGGGUUUGCAUCGAACCAUUGGUGUGUCAAUUGCUGGAAUGAGAUUUGAAAAAGAGAGCAUGGCCAGUUGGGACUUUCUGCAUACCAUGAAUUGUGAGGAAUCAUUAGCAAAUCAAUUUUGGAAGAAAGAUUUGAAAAAGUGAGCAGGACCAAUUGAAACAUUCUGCACAUCUGAGAUUGCAAGGAGCCAUUAGCAAUCUGUUGUGGAAGUGAGAUGUGAAAAAGCAUGUGACGUCGGUUUGGACAUUCUGCACACCUGAGAUCGCAGGGUGGUUAUGCACCUAUCAAGGGCCAAUAAAAACGACUCGGGUGUAAGCAAAGCAAUCAUCGUGGGAUUGGCCAUUAUGUGAGUAGGCCACUGUUAGAGUGGAGGAUUUGAGGCUUGGCUCAAAGAGGCUUUGGCGAGAAUAGGCAAAAGGUAAGGUAAGUUUCUGGUAAGUUUCUUUCUUUCUUUGUAUAUUAGUGCAUAGCUAGCAUAGUGAGAAAGUGUCCAGUGUCAGUGAAGGGUACUUCAUGUUGGAUGUGGGAAUUCUGGGUGAACUGCAGUCUCCCUGAGAACUACAUUUGAAUGAGGUACUUUUAGCUGCAGCUCCUUACAGACUGUGUUAGGGAACUGGAGCUGCAUUUGGGUGACCUACAGCUUCUAUGAGAGAAUGAGGAGAUAGUUAAGAUCUAUGGAGAGGUAUCACUCCUAAGUUGUAGGAGGCAGGUAGCUGGGUUAUUGUCAGGAGAGAGAAAGGGAAUAGGCAGGUUGUGCUAAAUACUCCUGUGCUGUUCUAUUCAGUAACAAGUAUACCAGUUUGGAUAUCUUUGUGAGGGACGGGGAGCCACCUAACGGGGGAAAGCUGUGGUGUCCAGGUCUCUGGUACUGAGUCUAGCUCUGCGGCUCAGAAGGGGAGCGGGGAGAAAAGGAGUGCAGUGUUGAGAGGGGAUUUUAUACUUAGAUGAGCAGACAGUCAAUUCUAUGGACAUGAAAGAGACCCCUAUAUGGUAUGUUGCUUCCCAGUUGCCAGGGUCAGCAAUAUUUCAGAUUAGCCACAACAUUCUAAAUACGGAAAGUGAGUAGCCAGAAGUUGUGGUAUAUAUUGGUACCCACAACAUAUAGGUAGGAAAAGGAAUGAGGUCAGGAAGAGAGAGUCCGGAGUUAAGAAGUAAGCUGAAAAGCAGGACCUCAAGGGUAGUAAUCUCUGAAGUGCUGCAUGUGCUAUGUGCUAGUGAGGUUAAGAGUAGGGUGAUUUGGCAGAUGAAUGCAUGGCUGAGGAACUGUGUAGGGAUCAGAGUUUCAUAUUUUUGGAAGGUUGGUAUCUCUUCUGGGGAGGAUAUGACCUAUGCAAAAAGGACAAGUUACACCUGAACAUGAGAGGGACUAAAUACCACUACAGGGAGGUUUGCUGGAGCUGUUGGUGAGGAUUUAAACUAGUUUGGCAGAGGGAUGGAUGCCAGAGGAUGGGGCAGUUGGUGUGCAGGUAGAUGCAGCAUGUAGAGAGACUGAGAAAGACAGGCAUUCAAUAGGAUAAAACUACAAUAUAUGGGAUUGGGUGAAGUGUGUCUAUUUUAAUGCUAUCAGCAACAAGGGUAAAGAACUUAGAGCAUGGAUCAGUACAUGAAACUAUGAUGUUUUGGCCAUUACAGAGUCAGACCUGUCACAAGGGCAGGGGUGGCUGGUGGAUGUAUCAGGUUUUAGGUGUGACAAAAUUGACAGGAAGGGAGGUAAAAGAAGUGGGGAAGUGGCAUUGCUAAUCAAGGAUAGUAUCACAGGUGCAUAAAGGAAGGGUGGCGUGAAGACACUGUCUACUGAGACACUGUGGGUGUAAGUCUGAAACAGUAAAAAGAGCAAGGACUCAUUUUUUAAUGUUCGAUAGACCCUCCUAACAGCAACAAAGAUACUGAGGAUUAGAUCAGGAGUCAGAUUUUGGAAAGGUACAGAAAAGAACAGGGCUGUUGUUAAGGGGAACUUAAACUUCUCUGAUUUUGAUUGGCAUUUGCUGAGUCAAAUGGUUUAGAUGGGGUGGAAUUUGUUAGGUGUGUCCAGGAAGCACUCCUGACACAAUACGUAGACAGGCCAACGAGAUUAGAGCCCACACUAUAUCUGGCGCUAGGCCUGAUGGGAUAUACAACAGGUUAUUGAGAGAGGCAGGAGAUGAGAUUACUGGGACCUUGAUUAAAACAUUUGUGUCCUCUCUACCUGCAGUCAAGAUUCCAGACGACUUUCAAUUUGCUAAUGUUGUUACCAUAGUCAAUAAGUGAACCAGGGAAAUUCCUGAACACCAUAUUCCGGCAAGUUGCAUGUCAGAGAUAGGUAAGUUACUGAAGAGAAUUUGAAGGGGAAGGAAUUAAGAGCAUUUUGCAAACCAUGGCUGAUUUAGGGAGAACCAAUAUAGCUUUGUGCAGGACAAGUUGUGUCUUGCUAACUUGACUGAGCUUUUUGAGGAGAUGAUAAAGGUAGAUCUGUGAAUGUUAUCGACAUGGAUUUUAUUAAGGUGUUUGACAAUGUCCCUCAUGGGAGGCUGAUGGAGAAGUUUAAGGUGCAUGGGAUUGAUGGUGAAUUGGCUGUUUGGAUUCAGAACUGUCUUGCCUAUUGAAAACAGAGGGUAGUGGUUGAAAGGACCAGUUCUAGCAGGAGGUCUGUGAUUAGUGAUGUUCUGCAGGGAUCAGUACUGGGACCUCUACUGUUUGUGAUAUACUGUACAUAAAUGACAAGAAUGAAAAUGUAGAUGGGUGGGUUAGUAAGUUUGAAAUGUAUGAUACUGGAGUGCAUGCAUUUAAGUUUGGGGGGGGGUGAGUUCAAAGGAGAUGUGAGGGCUAAUGCUUUUACACAGAGUAUGAGGUGUGCCUGGGGUGGGGUUGGAAGCAGUUACAUUACGGAUGCUUGUGGGAUGUUUAGAUAAGCACACAAAUGUGAAGGAAAUGGAGGCAUAUAGACCUUAUGUAGGCAAAAGUGAUUUGUUUAGUUGGCCGUUUGAUUACUAAUUUAAUUGGUUCAGCACAACACUGUGGGCCAAAGAGUCUGUUCCUGUGCUGUACUGUUCUGUGAUGUAAUUACAGUCUGACCAGUGCCUUAUAAAGCUUCAGCAUUACAUGCUUGCUUUUAUCCUUUUCAAAUUGAAUCCUAACAUUGAAUUUACCUUCCUUACCAGAGAUUCAACUUGCAAGUUCACCUUUAGGAAUCCUGCAUGAAGACUUCCAAGUCCCUUUGCAUCUUUGAUUUAUGAAUUUGCUCCCUAUUCAGAAAAUAGUCUACAUCUUUACUCAUUCUACCAAACUGCAUUACCCUGUAAUUACCUGUGCCAUGUCCCAUCUGCCACUUCUUUGUCCAUUCUCCUAAUAUGUCUAAGUCCUUCUGCAGACUCCCAUCUUCUCAACACUGCCUGCCCCUCCAUCCAGUUUUUUUAUUGCCCAUAGAGGUGGCCACAAAGAUAUUAAUCCCUUCAUCCAAAUCACUGGCACAUGAGGUGAAAAGAAGCAGUCCUAAUACUGGCACCUAUGGAACACCACAUCACUGGCAGCCAACCAGGAAAGUCCCCACUUCUUGUUCUGACACUGGAUACACUCUGUCAUUGGCUCAGUUGGGCGGCAUAUACUGAACAAAUGAGGCAGCCCUCACACCUGCUGGAUGUCUACUGUAGGAUGCUACUGGACUGACACUGGCUCUGGAAUCACUUUUGCAGAAAACACCUGGCAUCUUCCACCCUGAUUCUGAUGUUCGGAUGACCCUCAUUGCAACGGUGCUCAGCUGUAGCGGCGAGACUCCAGGAAUGCAGAGAGUUAUGUUUUCCUGUCAGAGUCCAGUCCUUUGGGUAAUGUUUUCUUUGGAAAUUGUCUGGCAGUUUGACCUCCAUGAGAUGAAGUCAUCAUUCUCCUUAGAAAUGUGGCAUUGACCUUCAAGAAAUUUGAAUGGUGAUGCACAGCCAUCUGAUCGUUCAGCAAGUGUAAACCUUUCCUGUUACUGAAAAGACACAGGUAAUUGAAGUGAGCACCUGUUGACCAUAUAUGCAGUUCCUGCUGCCUUCACUUGUGGAAAAACCCAUUGGCACCUGAAAUGAAGAUAGGUGAAACUGUCCGUCCAUACCGGCUGAUGUCACUGGUGGAAAGAAAUUGGGUGACGUGGCAGAGAUCAGGUGCAACCCUUCGGGAAGAUCUGGUGGUGAGUAAGCUGAUUGUCAAUGCAACCUUGACCUUCAUGGAGUGGCAAAGGCACGUGAGCAUGACAAGAGAUUUGCUGGUGAUUCCACUGUGUUCAAUUCCAUAUACAACUCUUCAGCAAAUGAAUGCAUAUAUGUGCUAAAAAGCCUGGGUUUGCAUCGAACCAUUGGUGUGUCAAUUGCUGGAAUGAGAUUUGAAAAAGAGAGCAUGGCCAGUUGGGACUUUCUGCAUACCAUGAAUUGUGAGGAAUCAUUAGCAAAUCAAUUUUGGAAGAAAGAUUUGAAAAAGUGAGCAGGACCAAUUGAAACAUUCUGCACAUCUGAGAUUGCAAGGAGCCAUUAGCAAUCUGUUGUGGAAGUGAGAUGUGAAAAAGCAUGUGACGUCGGUUUGGACAUUCUGCACACCUGAGAUCGCAGGGUGGUUAUGCACCUAUCAAGGGCCAAUAAAAACGACUCGGGUGUAAGCAAAGCAAUCAUCGUGGGAUUGGCCAUUAUGUGAGUAGGCCACUGUUAGAGUGGAGGAUUUGAGGCUUGGCUCAAAGAGGCUUUGGCGAGAAUAGGCAAAAGGUAAGGUAAGUUUCUGGUAAGUUUCUUUCUUUCUUUGUAUAUUAGUGCAUAGCUAGCAUAGUGAGAAAGUGUCCAGUGUCAGUGAAGGGUACUUCAUGUUGGAUGUGGGAAUUCUGGGUGAACUGCAGUCUCCCUGAGAACUACAUUUGAAUGAGGUACUUUUAGCUGCAGCUCCUUACAGACUGUGUUAGGGAACUGGAGCUGCAUUUGGGUGACCUACAGCUUCUAUGAGAGAAUGAGGAGAUAGUUAAGAUCUAUGGAGAGGUAUCACUCCUAAGUUGUAGGAGGCAGGUAGCUGGGUUAUUGUCAGGAGAGAGAAAGGGAAUAGGCAGGUUGUGCUAAAUACUCCUGUGCUGUUCUAUUCAGUAACAAGUAUACCAGUUUGGAUAUCUUUGUGAGGGACGGGGAGCCACCUAACGGGGGAAAGCUGUGGUGUCCAGGUCUCUGGUACUGAGUCUAGCUCUGCGGCUCAGAAGGGGAGCGGGGAGAAAAGGAGUGCAGUGUUGAGAGGGGAUUUUAUACUUAGAUGAGCAGACAGUCAAUUCUAUGGACAUGAAAGAGACCCCUAUAUGGUAUGUUGCUUCCCAGUUGCCAGGGUCAGCAAUAUUUCAGAUUAGCCACAACAUUCUAAAUACGGAAAGUGAGUAGCCAGAAGUUGUGGUAUAUAUUGGUACCCACAACAUAUAGGUAGGAAAAGGAAUGAGGUCAGGAAGAGAGAGUCCGGAGUUAAGAAGUAAGCUGAAAAGCAGGACCUCAAGGGUAGUAAUCUCUGAAGUGCUGCAUGUGCUAUGUGCUAGUGAGGUUAAGAGUAGGGUGAUUUGGCAGAUGAAUGCAUGGCUGAGGAACUGUGUAGGGAUCAGAGUUUCAUAUUUUUGGAAGGUUGGUAUCUCUUCUGGGGAGGAUAUGACCUAUGCAAAAAGGACAAGUUACACCUGAACAUGAGAGGGACUAAAUACCACUACAGGGAGGUUUGCUGGAGCUGUUGGUGAGGAUUUAAACUAGUUUGGCAGAGGGAUGGAUGCCAGAGGAUGGGGCAGUUGGUGUGCAGGUAGAUGCAGCAUGUAGAGAGACUGAGAAAGACAGGCAUUCAAUAGGAUAAAACUACAAUAUAUGGGAUUGGGUGAAGUGUGUCUAUUUUAAUGCUAUCAGCAACAAGGGUAAAGAACUUAGAGCAUGGAUCAGUACAUGAAACUAUGAUGUUUUGGCCAUUACAGAGUCAGACCUGUCACAAGGGCAGGGGUGGCUGGUGGAUGUAUCAGGUUUUAGGUGUGACAAAAUUGACAGGAAGGGAGGUAAAAGAAGUGGGGAAGUGGCAUUGCUAAUCAAGGAUAGUAUCACAGGUGCAUAAAGGAAGGGUGGCGUGAAGACACUGUCUACUGAGACACUGUGGGUGUAAGUCUGAAACAGUAAAAAGAGCAAGGACUCAUUUUUUAAUGUUCGAUAGACCCUCCUAACAGCAACAAAGAUACUGAGGAUUAGAUCAGGAGUCAGAUUUUGGAAAGGUACAGAAAAGAACAGGGCUGUUGUUAAGGGGAACUUAAACUUCUCUGAUUUUGAUUGGCAUUUGCUGAGUCAAAUGGUUUAGAUGGGGUGGAAUUUGUUAGGUGUGUCCAGGAAGCACUCCUGACACAAUACGUAGACAGGCCAACGAGAUUAGAGCCCACACUAUAUCUGGCGCUAGGCCUGAUGGGAUAUACAACAGGUUAUUGAGAGAGGCAGGAGAUGAGAUUACUGGGACCUUGAUUAAAACAUUUGUGUCCUCUCUACCUGCAGUCAAGAUUCCAGACGACUUUCAAUUUGCUAAUGUUGUUACCAUAGUCAAUAAGUGAACCAGGGAAAUUCCUGAACACCAUAUUCCGGCAAGUUGCAUGUCAGAGAUAGGUAAGUUACUGAAGAGAAUUUGAAGGGGAAGGAAUUAAGAGCAUUUUGCAAACCAUGGCUGAUUUAGGGAGAACCAAUAUAGCUUUGUGCAGGACAAGUUGUGUCUUGCUAACUUGACUGAGCUUUUUGAGGAGAUGAUAAAGGUAGAUCUGUGAAUGUUAUCGACAUGGAUUUUAUUAAGGUGUUUGACAACGUCCCUCAUGGGAGGCUGAUGGAGAAGUUUAAGGUGCAUGGGAUUGAUGGUGAAUUGGCUGUUUGGAUUCAGAACUGUCUUGCCUAUUGAAAACAGAGGGUAGUGGUUGAAAGGACCAGUUCUAGCAGGAGGUCUGUGAUUAGUGAUGUUCUGCAGGGAUCAGUACUGGGACCUCUACUGUUUGUGAUAUACUGUACAUAAAUGACAAGAAUGAAAAUGUAGAUGGGUGGGUUAGUAAGUUUGAAAUGUAUGAUACUGGAGUGCAUGCAUUUAAGUUUGGGGGGGGGGUGAGUUCAAAGGAGAUGUGAGGGCUAAUGCUUUUACACAGAGAGUGAGGUGUGCCUGGGGUGGUGGUAGAAGCAGAUACACUACGGACUUUUACGGACUUAUGGAAGUGGAAGGAUAUGGGCAUUGUGUAGGCAGAAGUGAUUAAUUUCUCAAUAUGAAUGCUAACAUUGAAUUGGCCUUCCUUAUCACAGACUCAACCUGCAACUUCACCUUUAGGAUCCUGCACAAGGACUCCCAAGUCCCUUUCCACUUCUGAUUGAUGAAUUUGCACACUGUUUAAAAAUAGUCUACUCCUUUACUUCUUCUACCACCGUGCUUGACCCUAGACUUAAAAACACAAUAUUCCAUGUGCCACUCCUUUGCCCGUUCUCCUAAUCUGUCUAAGUUCUUCUGUGGACUCCCUUGUUCCUCAGCAUUACUUGACACUUCACCAAGCUUUGUAUUGCCUGCAAACAUGGCCACAAAACCAUCAAUCCCUUUAUCCAAGUCACUGGCACAUGAGGUGAAAAGAAGCAGUCCUAAUACUGACACCUACGGAACACCACGUCACUGGCAGCCAACCAGGAAAGUCCCCACUUCUUGUUCUGACACUGGAUACACUCUGUCAUUGGCUCAGUUGGGCGGCAUAUACUGAACAAAUGAGGCAGCCCUCACACCUGCUGGAUGUCUACUGUAGGAUGCUACUGGACUGACACUGGCUCUGGAAUCACUUUUGCAGAAAACACCUGGCAUCUUCCACCCUGAUUCUGAUGUUCGGAUGACCCUCAUUGCAACGGUGCUCAGCUGUAGCGGCGAGACUCCAGGAAUGCAGAGAGUUAUGUUUUCCCGUCAGAGUCCAGUCCUUUGGGUAAUGUUUUCUUUGGAAAUUGUCUGGCAGUUUGACCUCCAUGAGAUGAAGUCAUCAUUCUCCUUAGAAAUGUGGCAUUGACCUUCAAGAAAUUUGAAUGGUGAUGCACAGCCAUCUGAUCGUUCAGCAAGUGUAAACCUUUCCUGUUACUGAAAAGACACAGGUAAUUGAAGUGAGCACCUGUUGACCAUAUAUGCAAUUCCUGCUGCCUUCACUUGUGGAAAAACCCAUUGGCACCUGAAAUGAAGAUAGGUGAAACUGUCCGUCCAUACCGGCUGAUGUCUCUGGUGGAAAGAAAUUGGGUGACGUGGCAGAGAUCAGGUGCAACCCUUCGGGAAGAUCUGGUGGUGAGUAAGCUGAUUGUCAAUGCAACCUUGACCUUCAUGGAGUGGCAAAGGCACGUGAGCAUGACAAGAGAUUUGCUGGUGAUUCCACUGUGUUCAAUUCCAUAUACAACUCUUCAGCAAAUGAAUGUAUGCAGGGGCUGAUAAGGAAGAGAUCAUGUGGAGCCAUUGGAGAGUCAAUUGUGGGAACAAGAUUUGAAAAACUGAAUGGAGCCAGUUAGGACAUAAUGCAUGUCUGAGAUCACGUGGAGCCAUGGGUGAAUCAUUUCUGGAAGCAAGAAUGGAAAAAGCAAGUGAGGCCAUUUGGGACAUUCUGCAUGUCCUGAGAUUGCUCAGAGCCAUGAGCAAGUUAAUUGUGGGUGAAAAAUUUGAAAAAGCAAGCUCAGCCAAUUGGAGCAUUUUGUACAGCAGAGAUUGCAAGAAGCAAUUGGCAAGAAGUCAUGGAAACAAGAUUAGAUAAAACAAAUGGGGCCAGUUGGGACAUUCUGCUUGGGAUGAUCAUGCACUUGACAAGGGGCAAUAAAAAGGAGCCAGGUGUAAGCAAGGUGGUCUUUGUGGGAGUGGCCAUCGUGUGAGUGUUAGACUGGAGGAUUUGAGGCUUGUCUCAAAGAGGCUUCGGUGGAAAGGCAAAGGAUAAGGUAAGUUACUGGUAAGCUCCUGUAUUACUUUGUCUAUUAGUGCCUAGCUAGUGGAGUUAGAAUGUGUCCAGUGUCAGUGAUGGGUUCUUCACGUUGCAUGCAGGAUAUCUGGGUAAACUGCAGUCUCCCUGGGAACUCCACUUAUGUGAUUAGCACCAGCUGCAGCUCCUUACAGACAGUGUUAGGGAACUGAAGCUGCAGUUGGAUGAGUUACAGCUCAAAUGGAAGAAUGAGGAGGAGGUAGUUAAGGCCUACAGAGAGGUAUUCACCUCUAAGUUGCAGGAGGCAGGUAACUGGGUGAUUGUCACAAGAAGGAAAAGGAACAAGCAGACAGUGCAGAGUACCCUUGUACUCUGUUCCUUUCAGUAACAAAUAUAGCACUGUUCAUACUGCUGGGGAGUGUGUGGGAGGGACCUUUCGGGGGAAAGCAGCAGCAUCCAGAUCUCUGAGAUUGAGUCUGAAUUUGUGGCUUAGAAGGGAAGUGGGGAGAAUGGCUGAUGGGUGUUCUGGAGUUUAGAUUUUUCAAAGGGGACAGAGGGUUCCAAAAGAGGUGGGGAAGUGGCACUUGUUUAAUCAUGGAUAAUAUCACAGCUGCAGAAAGGGAAGAUGUCAUUUAGGGAUUGUCUACUGGAUCAGUCUGUGUGGAAAUCAGUAAUAGGAAAGUAGCAAUCAAUCUCUUGGAAUAUCGAAUAGACAGUGAAGAACAGAUCAGGAGGCAGGGUUUGGAAAGAUGCAGAUAUAACAGGGCUAUUGGCAUGGGGAACUUCAAUUUCCCAAAUAUUGAUUGGUACCUCCUUAGUGCAAAGGUUUGGUUGAUGUGGAAUUUGUUAGUUGUGUCCAGGAAGCAUUUCUGACACAAUAUGUAGACAAGCAAAUAAGAAUAGAUAUCUGGUACUAGGCAGAGGGCUGGUUCUCAUGAAGAUCGUUAAGGUGGGGCUGUCCCCAGUGCCUGAUGGGAUAUACAACAGGUUUUUGAGAGAGGCAGGAGUUGAGAUUACUGGGGCUUUGACCAAAACUUUUGUGUCCUCUCUACCUGCAGGCAAGAUCCCAGAGGACCUUUGAGUAGCUAAUGUUGUUACCUUAAUAAGUGAAUCGGAUAAUCUUGAACACCGGAGCUGGUGAAUCACACAUCAGAGAUAGGGAAGUUAAUGGAGAGAAUUUGUACGGAUGUGAUUCAUGUGCAUUUGGAAAACCAUGGUCAAAUUAAGGAGAGCCAAUAUGGCUUUGUGCAGGGCAUGUUGAGUCCUACUAACUUAAUAGAUUUUUUGUCGAGGUGAUUAGGGUGGUUGAUGAAGGUAGAGGUGAGGAUAUUAUCGACAUGGAUUUUAUUAAGGUGUUUGAUAACGUUCCUCAUAGGAGGCUGAUGCAGAAGUUUAAGAUGCAUGGGAUUGAUGAUGAAUUGGCUGUUUGGAUUCAGAACUGGCUUGCCUAUUGAAAAGAGAGGGUAGUGGUUGAAGGGACUUAUUCUAGGUGGAGGUCUGUGAUUAGAGGUGUUCCUCAGGGAUCAGAACUGGGACCUCUAUUUUUUGUGCUGUACUGUAGGUAAAUGACAAGAAUGAAAAUGGAGAUGGGAGGGAUAGUAGGUUUGAAAUGUCUCAUACUGUGGUGUGUGCUUGGGGUAGUGAUAGAGGUAGUUACAUUAGACUUCUAAGAGAUAUUUUGACAAGCAGAUGAGAAUGAGAGAAAUGGGAGGAUACAGACAUUGUGUGAACAUAGAACAUAGAAUAGUACAGCACAUUACAGACCCUUCGGCCUACAAUAUUGUGUCGACCCUCAGACCCUGCCUCCCAUAUAACCCCCCACCUUAAAUUCCUCCAUAUACCUGUCUAGUAGUCUCUUAAACUUCAUUAGUGUAUCUGCCUCCACCACUGACUCAGGUAGUGCAUUCCACGCACCAACCACUCUCUGAGUGAAAAACCUUCCUCUAAUAACCCCUUUGAACUUCCCUCCCCUUACCUUAAGGCCAUGUCCUCUUGUACUGAGCAGUGGUCCCCUGGGGAAGAGGCGCUGGCUGUCCACUCUGCCUAUUCCUCUUAAUAUCUUGUACACCUCUAUCAUGUCUCCUCUCAUCCCCCUUCUCUCCAAAGAGUAAAGCCCUAGCUCCCUUAAUCUCUGAUCAUAAUGCAUACUCCCUAAACCAGGCAGCAUCCUGGUAAAUCUCCUCUGUGCCCUUUGCAAUGCUUCCACAUCCUUCCUAUACUGAGGUGACCAGAACUGGACACAGUAUUCCAAGUGUGGCCUAAUCAGAGUUUUAUACAGCUGCAUCAUUACCCUGCGACUCUUAAACUCUAUCCCUCGACUUAUGAAAGCUAACACCCCAUAAACUUUCUUAACUACCCUAUCUACCUGUGAGGCAACUUUCAGGGAUCUGUGGACAUGUACCCCCAGAUCCCUCUGCUCCUCCACAUUCCUGUUACUGCUAUCUUCACUUGUCGAAAAACCCAAUUGUCAGUGUCGCCACCUGCAAUCAAGAUAAAUGAAACGAUCCUUCCAUAUCUGCUGAUGUCUCUGGUGGAAACAAAUUGGGUGACAUGGCAAAGAUCAGAUGCAGCCUUUCGGGAAGAUCUGGUGAAAAGAAGAGAUGCAGCUAAGUUGCCAGCAGCACACAGUCUAUUGGAGGAACUAAACAGGUCAAGAAGCAUCUGUGCAGGGGAAAGACGGUCAACAUUUCAGGUUGAAACCCUGCAUCAGGAUUCUAAGCUGCUAAAUUUUCUUGAUGCUGACUUCCAUGCAAUUCAGGCUUAACAACAUAAGGAGAUCACCUGAACUACAGUGCAUGGCUGCCGGACCCUGAGUAAACAGUGGAGUGAGGAGUCAGGUCAGACUAUUGCAAGGAAAGCGUCCCAUAUGGAAACACAGGAAUUGACAGCAUCCACGCACACAGCGGAGGGGAGAUCAGCAUUCCAAUCACCAUAUCGUCACACACAGGAGAUUGCUGUGUCUACACCCAUGGAAGAGCGUCAUGUCUACACGAAUGUGAAAUUUCCACGGCAACACGCAGUGGAAUCCACACAGAUGCAGGACAUUGCCGUGUACACCUGUACAAAGCAGAGCGACGUGUCCGCACGCACAGAUCACCGCCUGCACAGACACAGGAGUUUGCAUGGCCGCACACGCAAGAGACCACCGAAUCUGCACACACAGAGGAAAUCACCAUAUCCCCAGAUACAAAGGAAAUUGCCAUGUUCACAUACGCGCAAAAGAUCACCAUAUCCGUGUACUGUCACAAGAUUGAUACCACCGCACAAACGCAGACCAUCGCUACGUCCAUACACAUACAGGUGUCACUGUUUCCGUGCACCUACAAGAGAUUGCCAGGUUGGCAGACACACACUAGUGCUCGCUGAGUCCGCACAGUCACAUGAGAUCACCAUGUCUGCACAAACAGGAGAUUGCUACGUCGCACAGGUGAUCACCAAGACUACACACACACACGACGGCGGAGUGUGAGGAAACACAGAGGAGACACAUGCAGACACUGAUGAGAUAAGCAUGUCCUCACACACAGGAGAUCUCUCUACAUUCACGGGAGAACACCGUUUAUACGCUCAAGGAGAUCGCUAGGCCCACGUACAAACAGGAGGUCACAGUAUCAACACACACACACGCGCGAGACUGCGAAGUCAUCGCUCCCCACACAUACAAUAGAGAACGGCACACACACACAGACAAAAUAUCGCUGUUUCUGCAUGCACACAGGAUAUUGUCAUAUCUUCACGCACUGUUGAUCGCCGAGUCUGCACACGCGGCAGGAGCGCAAACACGCUGGAGAUCACUCCAUUCAGACGCACUGAGGAGGCUACCCGGUCAACACACACAACGGACCGUCGCCUCCAAGGCACACACAGGAAAUCGCUGUGUCAAGAAACACACGGGAUUGCUGCGUCUUCACACACACACACACACACACACAGGAUAUUGCCGUGUCCAAACGCAAACUCUUACAGGAGAUUGCUGUGUCCUCACACACAGGUGAUAGCCAUGCCAGCGCUCACAGGACAUCAUUGCUCUUCACACAUGCAGCGGAGAUUGCCACAUCGGCACACACACACACAAUAUCACCCGGUACGGACGGACACAGGAGAUUGCUACAUCGCACGCACAGGUGAUCACCGAGACUACACACACACACACAUAUGAGAGCAGCGCGUGUGGAAACACUGGAGUUCGGACAUCCAAAUACAGAAGACAUCAGCAUGUCCACACGCAAUGGAGAUCAUCCUGCCCUCAAACACAGGAGAUCUCUGUAUCUACACUAACAAGAGAACACGCACAGUUGAUCACCGAGUCUGCACACAGGUGAGUGCUGGGAGUGCAAACACACAGGAAAUCCGUUCGUCCAGAUCACCGUAUCCACACAAACAGCAGAUCGAGUGCUGCAUCUGCACACGCACGGGGAUCGGUAAGUCCGCACACCAACGCACAAAAUUGACGCGGCUGCACACCCAUGCACAAACACAUGACUGCAUGCGCACACAUUUUACCAUGUCCACGGACACAGAGGAGGUCACGCUCAGUGAAUAUUAUUGUGUCUUCACACACGCACAGUAGAGCGUCUCCUGUGGAAGCACACGGGAAGUGACAAUGUCCAUGCGCGCACACGCACGCACACACACACACACACACGCGUGAUCAGUGCGUUCAAACGCAGGGGAGGUCACAAACAGAUCGCCGUGUCUACGCCAACGGGAGAGCGUCGUGUUUACAUGAAUGAGAAAUCUCCACGUCGACACACAGUGGAAUCCACGCAGAUGCAGAUGAUCGUGUACACAGGUACAGGGUAGAGUGACGCGUCGAGGUACCCAGAUCACUGCCUGCAGAGACAUGGGGUGGGCACCUCAGCACACACGUACGCACAGGAGCUGGCAUGGCCACACACGCAAGAGAACACCGAGUCUGAACACACUCAGAGGAAAUCGGUAUAUCCCCAGAUACAAAAGAAAUCGCCAUGUCCAUACAUGUGCAAAAGAUCAGCGUAUCCGCACACUGUCGCACGUCUAUGCGUCCGCGCGCGCGCACAUACACACCGCAUCGCUGAGUUCACAUACAUACAUACAGGUGUCGCUGUGUCCGCGCACGCAUAAGACCGCCACAUCUGCAUCCGCAUCCACAUACUAGUGAUUGCCGAAUCUGCACCGUCGCACAAGAUCAUGUCUGCACAAACAGGAGAUUGCUACGCUGCAUGCACAGGUGAUCACCAAGACUACACACACACACACACGACAGCAGCGCCCGAGGAAACACAGAGGAGUUCGGCAUGUCCACACACAGUGGAGAUCACCCGUCUUUCACACACAGGCGAUCUCCAUGUAGACAUUCACACUCAAGUAGAUCGCCGUCUCCACAAAUGCACAGGAGAUCACAGCAUCCACACACACAAAUAUCGCUCUGUGCGCACGGAUUACCACGUCUGCAUCCACAGUUGAUCUCUGAGUUUGCACACACACAAGAGAGCGCGGGGAGUGCAGACACACAGGAGAUACCCCCACCGGUCCAGUUAAAUUUAGGGGGGGUCAUCCGGUCCACACACACAACGGACCGUUGCCUCCAAGGCACAAACAGGAGAUCGCCGUGUCCAGAAACGCACAAGGGUUUGCUACGUCUUUGCGCACACAGGAUAUUGCCGUGUCCAAACGCAAACACAUACAGGACAUCACCGUGUCCACACACACAGGUGACAGCCACACCAGCGCUCACUGGACAUCAUCGGUCUCCACACAUGCAGAGGAGAUUGCUACGUCCGCACUCACAGUUCACCACCGAGUCUGCACACACAGGAGAUCGACGUGUCCAGAAAUGCACGGGGGUUCGAUGCAACUGCACACACACAGGAUAGUUCCAUGUCCAAACGCAAACACACAAAAGAUCGCUACGUCCACACACACACAGGAGAUUGUCAAGGAGGUUAUCACCUCCAAAAAAGCAUAGAUCAUCGCCAGGUCUAACUACACACAGGAGGUGACAGUAUCCACACACACACACAGGUGACUGCCCUGUCAACGCUCACAGGUCAUCACCAGACUCUCAACAUACAGUGGAGAUUGCCGCAUAUUGCCCUGUCAGCACGUCCAGAGGAGUUUCCCACACCUGUUCUCACAGAAGAUCGCCGAGUCUGCACACACAGGUAAGCGCUGGGAGCACAAACACAGAAGUGAUCGACCCAUCACGACACACUGAGGUCGUCUCCUAGUCCAGACACACAAAAUUGGCGUGUGUACAAACACACACUCACUGGAGAUCGCCGCGUCCGCACACACAGGAGAUCGUCCUUUCCACACUCAAUGGUGAUCACUGUGUCUACACACACAAGAAAUUGCUGUCUCCACACACACAGGAGAGCACUGUUCACGCACACAGAAGAGAUCACCGUGUUCACACACACACACAAGAUUGUCCCAAAACACAGAUCACUGCGACUAACACCUACACAGGUAAUCUUUGUGUCCACAUACACAGGAGAUCGCCUUAUCCACACGCACCAUACAUCAGCGCGUCCGCUAUCAUAUCAGUGUUCACACAUACAUGUGUUCACAGGAGACUGCCAUUUGUGCAUUCACAUGAGAUUGGUGUGUCAACACACUCAAGUGUUUGCUGCAUUCACUGGUGCAGAGCACCGCGGUUGUUUACACCGAUCACUGCCUCUACCUGCACACAUAGGAAAUCGGUCAGUCAGCACGGAUACGCCAUUUCUGUCGAGUCUGCACACAAAAAGGUGAGCACUGCAUGUGGGAACACACAGCGGAUCGCAACAUCUAAGAACACAAGAGAUCGGCAUGACCACGUACAAUGGAAAUCAUCGUGUCCUCACAGGAGAUAAUCAUGUGCACACACGGAGCGGAGAUUAUCCAUGUCGACGCUCACAGGAAUUUGCCGUGUAGACGGGUACAAAGUAGACCGCUGUCUCUGCACACAGAGUUCAGCGUGUCCAGAAACACACAUCUGUGAUGGCCAUGCUCACACCCAUGUCCACAGAGAUAACCGUGUUAACCGCGUUAGCAGACACACGAGGUGAACGCAUAUCGACACAAGUGAUCGUCUUCUCUCCAAACUCGAGAUUAUCGUGUCAGCACACACACGUGAUCAAGUGCUGCAUCUGCACGUAGACAGGGUUUCGUCAAGUCUGCACACAUACACACCAGAUUGGCACGUCUGCAUGUACAUGGAUGGACACAUCACCGUGUUAGCACACAGAUGCAGAAAUUCACUAUGUUUAAACUCAUAGCAGAUAGUUCAGUUUUCACACACACACACCAGAGCGCGGCGUGAGGAAACACACUGGACAUCACCACGUCCACUCACAGGAGGUCUCACCGUCCACACACACGAGAUUGCCAUGCCCACUCAUACAGGAGACAGCCACAUCCACACACAAACACGCACAGGAGUUCGAGUGCUGCAUUGGUAAAUCCACACAGCAACACAAGAUUGACGCGAAUGCACACAGACACACACACACACCAUCGCAUCCACGCACAUAAUACCGUGUCCACACAAAUGAGAAAUUAAAACAUCGACACAGAUGCAGGAAAUUGUCGUGUACACAGUUACAAAGCAGAGUGACGUGUCCACAUACACAGAUCACUGCCUGCACACACACGGGAGGUCGCCACGUCUGCGCACACAGGAGAUCACCAAGUGAGAGUGGGAGCAUUAGUGGUAGAGAUUAUCGAGGCAGCAGAAAAGGAGUGCCUGCGAGAUGCUGGGAGAAAGACUGACACGGGUAGCGGUUGCUGAAUUGCGUUGGCGAGAAGGUUAAUAGCUGUCAGCUUACACUGGCUAUCCACAGUGAGCUUAUCGAUGGCAGCCGCGAGAGCGAAAAUCGCAGACACCUGACUUCAGUUGUCUGGGGUAAGCUGUUGAGCAGUUGUGGCAAGGAUGAUACCUGUUCCUCCUGAUGAUAAUAGGCUGGUCGGCACGAGAUUAUCUGCCUCAUUGCUUCAGUAACUUCACCCAGAGCAGGUUCAAUUGCCUGUAACUUGUCUCCUACCUGACGAAUGAGCAUAUUCAUGAGUGCAAUUGCCGAAUCUGCUGCACUGCCGAGUCUGUGGUUGUGUCUGAAGGAAAUCGCUGCAUCCACAGACAGAGGAGAGACUGUGCCCACACACACGCAUGAGAUUGCCAUGUCGACACAUACAUACGAGAUCACCUUGUUCACACCCAUGGAAAUCAACAAAAGCAAAGGUAGGUGAUCACUGUGUCCAUGCACACACAAGCAGUCAACAGGGUGAUUUGCAAUGUAAAAGGUGGACAAAAUCGAAAAGGGAGAAUGCAGGACUGAAAGUGUUUUAUCUAAAUGCGUGCUUUAUAUGGAAUAAGGUAGAUGAACUUGUAGUGCAGAUACAGGUUGACAUAUGAUAUUGUGUGCAUCACUAAAUGGCUAAAGGAAGAUUAUAGUUGGGAGCUUAACGUCCAAGGGUAAAAAGGCUUUGAUGUAUACAGAUCCCAAACAUUUGUAACAUUGUGCUCUACAAAUUACAACAGGAGAUAGAAAAUGCAUGCCAAAAGAGCAAUGUUAUAAUAGUAAUAGUUGAUUUCAAUAUGCAGGUGGAUUGGGAAAAUAAGGUUGGUGCUGGAUCCCAAGAGGGUGAAUUUCUAGAAUGCCUACGAGAUGGCUUUUAAGAACAGCUCAUAGUUGAGCUAUUCUGGAUUGGAUGGUGAACAAUGAACUGGAAUUGAGAGAGCUUAAGGUAAAGGACCAUUAGGGGUAAGUGAACAUAAUAUGAUACAAUUCAUCCUGCAAUUUGAGAAAGGAAGCUAAUCUCAGGUAUUUCAGUAUUACAGUGGAGUAAAGGGAAUAGCAGAGGCAUGAGAGAGGAGCUGGUCAAAGUUGAUUGGAAAAGAACACUGGAAGGGAUGAUGGCAGAACAGCAAUUUCUGGAAGCAAUUUGAAAGGAGCAGGAUAUAUAUAUAUCUUAUAUCUUGAGUGGGAAUUCAGAAGGCAACUUACAAAGUCAUUAAAAGAAAAAGAUGGAAUACCAAGGUCAGCUAACUAGUAGUAUUAAAGGAGAGAUCAAAAAUUUCUUCAGAUACAUCAUGUGUAAAGGAGAGGCAAGAGUGGAUAUCAGAUCACUGGAAAACAAUGCUAGAGAGAGAGAGUAAUGGGGUGUCGGAUGAACUAAAGUAUUUUGCAACAGUAUUCACUCUGGAAGACACUAAUAGUAUGCCGAAAGUUCGAGAGUAUUGGGGGCUGAAGUAUAUGAAGGUGCAAUACUAGGGAGAAGAUGGUGUGCACCCCAGAGUUCUGAAAGAGGAGGCUGAAGAGAUUGCAAAUGCCACUCCAGUGUUCAAGAAGGGAGAGAGGCAGGAGAAAGUGGAUUAUAGGUCAGUUAGCCUGACCUCAGUGGUUGUGAAGAUGUUGGCGUUGAUUGGUAAGGAUGUGGUUUCGGAGUACUUGGAGGAACAUGAUAAAAUAGGCCAGAGUGGGUAUGGUUUACUCAAGGGAAAAUCUUGCCUAACAAACUUGGAUUUCUUUGCAGAAAUAACAAGCAGGAUAUAAAAAUGGGAAUUGGUUGAUGUUGUGUGCUUCGAUUUUCAAAAGGCCACAGAAGGGUCUGCAAAACAAGUUAAGAGCUCAUGGAAUUACAAAAGAUGCCAGCAUGGGUAAAGCAGUAGCUGAUUGGCAGGAGGCAAAGAGUUGGAAUAAAGGGAACCUUUUAUGAUUG